AAUUUGUUUGGUUAUUACCCUCUUUAUUCCUUAAUUUCUCUUCCAAGUCACGUACAAGAGUUGAUACCUCCCUGGUAAGUACUCCGACAUGAGCCAAGAGAUCAAAAAGUUUGUCAUGAUGAAUAAAGUCCUUGGGCAUAUCAGAAAGAAUAAGUAAUAGGAACUCCAUCAUGACAUGAAUGUUUCGAGCCCCUGAAGUGCUAGGGUGAAUAACAGUUAUCAUAUGCUCUUGUAGUUGAAUGAUAUAUUCUCUGAGAAUAUCCGGUGAGGUUUCCAGGAGCUUCUUAAUGAAGCGUCCAACUUCUGCUGAAGUUGAAGCUUUCAAGUUUGUAUAACAUAUGUGCAUAACCUCCAUUUCAGUCGGAACAAUCUUCAAGAGUAGCUGGAAGAGUCGAGAGUCUCUAUCAUUCUGAUCAUCCUCAUCUGAGUCUUCAUCAAUCUGAUCCUCCCAAAGGAAGUGUCCUACUCUUUCAGCCAUCAGUUGAAACAGAGGUAAGACAUUCUCAACCGUCUCAUGCUUAAUGCAACCAUUCACUAUCAACCCAUGGAAGUCUCUUAUGUUGCCACAUACAUUCUGAAGAACUUCAUAUUGAGUCACUUCAGGAAAUAUCUUUUCAGCGUGAUGCUUGGAUAGAUGAUACAGAUUCAAGAGGAGGAAGUCCAAUUGCUCAUCCAUCAUGGUGGCAUCUGAUUUAUAAGAACGAUGAUACAAGCUGAUACAAUCAUCCAUAUUACUAGUGAGGCUAGUAAGGACAUCAUCAUCCAAAAGUGGUUGAAGCAGAUUCUCAACCUCUUGUCUUUUUCUCGUCAUUAUAUCUUCAAACUGCUCAAAAUUGGAAUAAGAAAGUUGAACAUAUGUACAAAUAAAUGCCAUUUUCAAUUUUAGAUUUUCAACUUCAUCUUUGUCAAGAGAUUUUUGAUUUUCCUCAUUCUCUAGGAAAACCAGAACAUCGGCAAUGUCCUUGUUAAGAGCAGAGAAUAACACCUGCCAAAAUAAUACAUUUUAAAGCCACAUAUCUAUAAUUCAAUACUUUACGGUUUACUCUAUAAAAUAACAUACCAAUGAGUUGUUUGCUUCUUCAUUAUCUUUUCGUUUUUCCAUGAUUCUACUUUUUCUCUAGACCUGAUGAAUAAAAAGUAGAUAAAACUUUAACAGGAGAAAGAAGAUGAAAAGAUAAGAAUAAUCAAUAAUAUCACUAUUUUCACACAUAGUAAUUUUAGACUCGCACAAUUGGAAAUGUCAAUCUUAAUCACACAUCAAAAUGUUUAUGACAUAAAAUCACAAACAUAAAAUCUCACAACUGUUAAGUAAAAUGUCAUUAAAUUAAUAAUCUCUCUAAUAAUAUUUUUCUCCUAUCUCCUUGGGCUAAUGGAAAAAGAUUACUCUUUUAUUUUGAUAAAAACUAGUCUUCGGAACUUGCAUCGCACGUCUGUCCCCUAAUUGAUAUUAGUAAAUUUUAAUUUAUAUAGCUAUGUUCAAAUGUAUGUCCUUUCAUAUGUAAGUUUAACAUAAGAAUUUAACUUUGCACAAAGUGUAACAUGAAAAUCUUGUGUUAGAUGUUGGAGGUCUGAUAUAUUAAAUACUUCAUGAAAAAUGAACAUUUAUUUUAUCAGAGGAAUUAAUAUAUUUUAAUUAUUAAACAUAAAUUUUAAUAAUCAAAAAAGAAAUUGUCUAUAAAAAAGAUACGUAUAAAGAAAAAUAUUACAAAAUGUUUGGGCGGUAUACCAUCAAAUUUAUAGAAAAAAUUAAAAUUUCAAACGAAAAAAAAAGAAUAAAUAAAGACGUCGCAUCCAUAAAAAAAGACAUCACAUUUAAAUAUAUAGACAAAAUAUUUUCAUACUAAUUGAAUUACAUUUUGUUAAAAGUAGACUUAUUCUAGACAAAACAUGCCUUACUCUAGACGAAACAUAUCAUAUGCAUAAAAAACUAUAAUCAUAUAUAAUAAUAAAUAAGACAAACAGAAAAGAAGACAUGAAUAUGUUAAGAAUAAAGAUAAAUUGUAUUUCUUGAACUAUAUAUAUAUAUAUAUAUAUAUAUAUAUAUAUAUAUAUAUAUAAAUGAAUUCUAAAAUAAUAUUAUUCAAUAUAUCAUUUAGUCAUUUUUUACUAUACAUUAUUUUAUUUUAUUUUUUUACUUUUGCACUUAUUUUGUACCUCUCUAUAACAAUUAAGUGCAUGAAUUUUUUGAAUAUUUGAGAUUACAUAUAAAAAGGAAAAAGUACAAAUAUGUUGGUUUAAAAAGAUAAAUGAUUAUCAAACAAUGAAAAAUACAUAAUUAUUAUUCUAUGGGAUUUAGCAUGUUUACCCUCAAAAUAAUUAAUGAUAAAUACAAAAUGUGAUUAGCUUUAUUAUAUAUAUCCUAAAAAUAGAAGAAAGGAUGAAUACAAAAAUACAGUAAUUAACUACAAAGUUAUAUUUAAAAACUCAAAAUGAUAGAGAUGUGAAAAAUAAAUAUUUACUUACAACUUCAUGUUGGAGUAUAUUCAUCUUGUAACUAUCAUAGUUUACAUAUUCCUCAACAAAAAGAAGAUGAAUAUGUAUGAAAUUUUAAAGGAUUAAAUAAAAUAGUAAGAAUUCUUAUAUUUACAAACUGGUAAUGAAAAUUUUACAAGGGAGGUAGACUAACCUACUGUAGUAUGCGAGAUGAUUAUAAACUUGAAUAAAAUAAGGAAUAUAUAUAAUGUGGUGUGAGCGUGUUUGAUAGACUCUUCAUUACCCCCCACUUAUCUUACAAAUUAAAGUUGAAAGGUUAUUAGACUCUUCAUUAUCUACAUUUAAUUAGUACAUGAAUAUAUGAUGCAUUAAGAUCUUAUUUGACUUAAUAUUUAAUUAAUUAAAUAGAUAUUAAUAUUAAUUUAUUUUAGAGGUAAAAUAAGGUUAAAAUGAUAAUUCAACUUUGAGGUUAGAAGCUUCUCACUUAUAAUAAUAAUAUAUGAUAAUAGUAAGAUUUUUUGUGAGAGUAGCUGAAAUAGAAUCAAUAGAGAUCUCCGAUUAAGCAUGUUCAUACCUUUUUGACAUAUUUUUGUUAGACAGGUUGAAGUAAGAGAUUGAAGUCUAGAUCUAGAAUUGCAAGAUUAAUAAAAUACAAUUCAUUGACUUCACAAGUCCUUUAAAUACCAAAAGUGCUCACUUAAUCAUUAAGUUUAGCAAAGAAGAAGAUGGUACCUUUACACAAGCUGAAGUUUAGCUACAGAACCCUUUGUUUGAGAAAUAAUGCUGAACCUAUUGGAGAAAAAAACAAGUGUAGUAGUUGAAAUAUACAAUACAAGUCUUUUAGUAAUGAAAUAUUAAAACACAAACCCAUAAGUCUUUUUUUAAUCAAUGUCUUUUGUCUUUCAAUUUUUAUACUGGCGAAGAUAAAAACAAGUGGUUGUCAUUUCAUCAAACACAUUGAAGACAUUGGCAAUUUCCACAUUAUAGAAUUUAAUACAAAAUAUCAAAACAUGAAUUCUUGAAAUGGAGUAUAAUAAUUAUUUUCUUCACAAUGAAUAUACGUACUAUAUGUGUAUAUGUUCAAUAUAACCGGAGAAAACAUUGCCAGAAAAAAUAAAUAACAGAGUUUAAAAUAUGUACUCAAAAACAAUAAUUAAUAUCAUAAGUAUAAAUUAAUGAGGAAAAAAAAUUAUACCGCGAUACGAAAAAAUAGAACGAAAAAAAUUGAGUCCACUGAAUGCACAAUGUCCUCUUAAGGAAACUACUAUUUCCCUCCAAUUCCGAAAAUUUAAAGAAUUACAUCCUCUUAGGAUGAACGAUGUUAUUCACCCAUAUGGGUUCGGCUCUGGUGGGCGCCCACCCAGUGACUCUAAUUCCUAAAUUCGUCUAUACUGUCAGUAACUCAUUCAACAGCAUCAAAGUAAGUACAUGAAUAUUUAAUUUUGCAGAAAUAAAAGAAAAUGAUUAUAAUUGUUUUUUGUUUUAAAAUAAGGGUGUGUAGUAUGAAGGAAAACAUUUCUCGGAAAAUAUUUUUUCAAUUUUCUCAUAUUUGGUUGGAUGAAAUCAUUUUUCUCAAAUUUAAAAAAAAAAAAGACUUCCUUUCCAAACUUAAGGAAAACAUUUUCCAAAAUUCUUUUCUAACCUUCCCCUACCCACCACCUGCUAGCCCCCCACCCAUACCCCUAAAAAGUUUAAGUUUAGUUUUUUAAAAUAUUUUAACUUCACAAUUUCUUUUUUUCACCCCUACCCUCGACCCCCAACCCACCCCCUACCACCCCCAUCCCCAAAAAAAAUAAUUUAAGUUUGUUUUUUAAAAAAUAUUUUAAACUUAAAAAAUUUAUUUUUUCACCCCCUACCCUCGACUUACCCACUCCCUACCAGCCCCCCUCCCCCCACCCCCCCACCCCCUCUUCAAAAAAAAAGUUAAGUUUGUUUUUAAAAAAUAUUUUAAACUUCAAAAUUUCAUUUUUUCACUCCUACCCUCGACUCCCCACCCCACUCCACUAGCCCCCUACCAGCGCACCCCCACCACGAAAAAAAAUUUUAAGUUUGUUUUUUUAAAAAAAUAAAUUCAACUUCAAAAAUUAUUUUCUACUCUAGUAAAAAAUAAAGAUAUUUCUCAAAAGUAUUUUUCAUUGAAAAAACAAACACUAAAAUAUUUUUCUAGAAAAUAUUAUCUACUGACCAACCAAACAUCAGAAUAUAAGUAAAAUAUCUACCUGUUUUUCAGAAAAACAUUUUCCAAGGAAUUUCCAUCAUACCAAACACACCCAAGAGUAUAUUCCUCUAUUUAUAGACAACAAAAGGUAAUGUGAACAAAUAUUUAUUGUGCCUUAUUAGAAAGGAUAGAACUAUUUGUAAAAAUUGCAACCCUUCGGAAAGUUUAUAACGUUUCAUAAAAGUCGCAACUCUUCAUAAAAGUCACAACUCUUCAUUAAAGUCGCAACUAUAUACAUAUAUACAAAUCUUAUAGGGAUGAACAAGUUUGAACAAGUUUCAGUUUUGUAAACUAUCUUGAUCUUCGAUUAAUUUCACGGGAUAUAUAGAUCUAGAUCUACAUGUACAAAUAGUUUAUCUUCUUUUUUUUGAAAGAAUUUUCUUGUGUAUUAUGUACGAGUAUAAAUAUACAGGAAGAAAUGCAAAAUUUUAGCACAAUAUGAAGUGUCUAAUCAAUCUUGAUAUUUAAGCACCCAAAUUCAGUAUUUCGCUUUGAUAGGUUCAUAAUUAAGAAUCAAAAUAAUAAUAGAGACUAAAAUAAAAUUCAUUGACUUUUCAAGUCUUUUUCAUCAAUUUUGUAAAUAUGUAUAUUCAUAUUACAAGUUGAUAGACUUGUGGAGAUUGUUAAUUAGCUUGUGAAUGAAGAUGAUGUGUGUGUAGAUCAUGGAUUUGAGCCACUAAUGUUUCUAUACUAAUGUUGGGUGUAGGCUGCGUUCUUGUUAGCGGAAACGUGAAAUUAAAGAAUAAGGAAGAACAAUAAUGAAAAUAAGAAAAGAAGAAGAGAGUUUUGAAGCAUGAACUAAUUACCUCUGCAAUAUUAGAAGCCCUGCUCCUUGUUUCAGAAACAGAGUAAUUGUUUGCCAAAUGAUCCAAUUAAUGUAGUUGAAACAAGAUCUGGACUUUAUUAUUAUUAUUAUUAUUAUAAGUCUUGUUAUUCACAUAGGAAGAUUCCUAAAUGAGAUUAUUAAUUCAACUGGCUAACAAUGAAUUAAUUACUUGAAAGGCCAACUUAACAAGAAUAAAAUAUAUAUAUAUAUACAUCUUGACAGUUUGUUCAUUCAUAAUACUAAAAUACAAUUCAUUGACUUUUGAAUUAUACAUCUAUCAUCUUUUUGGUGCUUCUAAUUUUGAGUGACAACGACAUUAUCAUAUGUUACUUUUCUAUAUUACUGAAGUGGAAAACUCCAAAAGUUAAUUUUUUUAAAAAAAAUAAAUAAAUUCCAUUUCCAAUUUUUAUUUUUUUUUAAAAAAAGAACAUCCUUCGUUUCAGAAAGAAUGAUCUAGUUUGACUUGGAACGGAGUUUAGGGAAAGAAAGAAGAUUUUUUAGUCUUGUAGUUCUAAAUUAAAAUUAUGUCAUAUGUACCAAAAUGUCAUUUAAUCUUAUGGUCUUAAACAUGUUACAUGAAAAAUUAAAAUUAAAAUAUUGUCAAAAAAGGAAAGGUGUCAUUCUUUUUUAAACAAACUAAAAUUGAAAUAGGAACAUUCUUUUUUAACAAGAAUAAUAUAUAUAUAUAUAUAUAUAUAUACUAGUUUGUGAGGACGUGCUUCGCACGUGUGUUUCAUGUGACUUUUUAUAGAUACGUUAGAAUAACUAAAAUCUCAUGAAAAUAUAUAUAUAUAUAUAUAUAUGUGUGUGUGUGUGUGUGUGUGUGUGUGUGUGUGUGUGUGUAUGUAUGUAUGUAUGUAUGUAUGUAUGUAUGUGUGUGUGUGUGUAAAUUGUAAUGAAUAAUAAAAUGUAACAACUACAAAAUUAAGAAGUCUAACAGAGUAAAAAAGAUAAAAAGAAACACAAUAUUUAAGAAAAAAAUACAAUAUAGACAUUAUUCUUAUAAAAUUGAUGUAUAUAUAGAUGAAAAAAUAAGUACAAAAUUAGUACAUAACUCUUUUAGAAAACUAAAUUAAGAAGUCUAACAGAGUAAAAAAAGAUAAAAAGAAACAGAAUAUUUAAGAAAAAAUAAAAUAUCGACAUUAUUCUUAUAAGAUUGAUGUAUAUAUAGAUGAAAAAAUAAGUACAAAAUUAGUACAUAACUCUCUGAGUUUUUAUUGAUUCCUUUCAUAUCCUAUCAAAAUUCAAGAAUCUUCAUCAUCUGUUUUUACUAUAGAAUAAAAAUAAUAUCCUAAUAAUCUUGGUAGGGUUUCAUGAGAUAAAGAAGUUGAAUUUAUAUAAACAGAAUAGAAGGAAUAUCAAAAGAUAUCUUAAAGUUUUAGUUUAAAUAUUUGGAAGUUAUGAAUAUGAAAAGAUGAGAGUUAUGAAUAUUAAGAGUAUAAAAGUUAAAUAAAUAAUUAGAAAAUAAUAAUAAAUAAAUGAAAGAAUAUGAAAAAAAAUUAAAGUUAGCAAACCAUGUAAAAAGAACAACUAAAGUUCUUAUCAUGUAAUUAAGCAUUAAUGAAUUUAAAUUUGUGAAGCUAGAGUCAUUCUUUAAUAAUAAUUAAGAGGACAUUAUUAAAGUGCAUCUCCAUUUUAUAGAUUUGCACCCUUUAAAUUAUUAAAUUUAGUUAUUUAUCAUAAAGGAUAAUACUUUAUCCACAAUUAUAUUAUUCAUGAGAGGGGUUAAGAAAAAAGUUAUAAGAAAAGGAAAAGAAAAGAAAUUUAGGUAAAGAUUUUUUCUAAAAAAAAUUAUAAUUAUUAUAUACACAUAGAUUAUAGAUGAUAAAUAUUAAUAGAUUAGAUAUUUAAUUAGUAAUUAAUCUUAGGAAGUCCAAAAGUCAUUAACAUUUAAUUAAAUUUAUACAAUCAAAUAUUAAAUAUUUUAUAACAAUUUAAUUUAUAGUAAAGGUAAAAGCGUAAUUCAACUUUCAACUUUUUUGUUCAUGCUUUUAGUAAUAUAUGAUAUAUAUAUUGACGGUUUGUUCAUUCAUAAUACUAAAAUUCAUUGACUUUUGAAUUAUACCUAUCAUCUUUUUUUGAGUUACCAACGUCAGGGGCAAAUGUAUAUUGUCGAGACAUGAAUGAUUUGGCUUUUAGAUGAGAUGGUCACAUAUAUAAUAACUUUAGGAUCCACCCGAACCCAAUGAGUCAAUGACGAUAGAUUUUUCCUGUAAUUAACUUUAAGGUUGAUGAGGUGAAAGGAAAUUUUACUCAUUUCUACUUAAUAAAUUCAGUUGAGACUUUUAUCAAACACAUCUUUUAACAUUAGCGGUUUUCACUACAAGACUUGAUUUUUAAGCAGCAAAAAUGGUUACUUAUAACAAUAGAGAACAUGUUAUAAUGCUGCUGUCACUUAAAUUAUGCUCCAUAAUUUUCCUUUUUGAUUUUUGUUAAUCAUGCUGACUGGAUUAACUUGCACACAUUUCAAUCAAUUUCACAAGAUACCGUUCACUUUCAAUUUGCAUGCACUUUGACUAAUUUCAUGCUUAACUCUAUUCGUCAAAGACAUGGAUAGAUUAUAGAAAAAAGGCAAAAUACAUAAAUAUGUCCUAUUAACUUGACUUCAAAUAACAUUUAUGACCUUCAACUUUGGGCAUGCACAAAUACACACUUAAACUUGUAUAAAGUUUAUCAAAUAAACACACAUGUCCUAUAUGAUAUCCUACAUGUAAUUUUUUGUCCUACGUGGUGUCCUGUAGGACUCGUGUGUUUAUUUGUUCUAUUUUAUAUAAGUUUAAGUUCUACUUGUUCAUAUUCAAAUUAAAGUUGGAGGACAUAAACGUAAAAUGAGGUCAAGUUAAAAAGUACAUUUAUGUUAUAUGCCAAUAAAUCACCCUUUUCUUGCUGAACUGCAUUGCUCGCUGCUCAUGAAAGAGUAUUAAUUUCUUAUUUUCCAUGCUAUGUAUGAUCAAAUUUUGGACUAUUUUGAUAAAAUAAAAGGUAAAAAAAGGCUCAAUAUGUUGAAUAUUUUUGGGUGUGGAGACGACGGGGCACUAUCGAUUUCUCACAACUUGAAUUUUAUUAUAUCAAAGUAAGAACCCGAUACAGUCUUACAAUCUUUACAACACUUGUUGUUUUCUUCAGCAACACUCUUUACUUGAGCAUUCAUUCUUGGUUGCUCUCUUGCUUUUAUUACUUUGUUCUUGCUAGCUUGCCUACAACUCAAAUGGACCACCUCUAUUCACAGGAGGUGAUAGAACAAUCUAGCUAAACAUAUUUUUCUGCUAUAUCAUAGAAUAUUCCUUUAAUUACUUAAUUCUAGAAUUACCCUAUCUAGAAUACUAGUCUCUCUAGAAUACACAUUUAGAGAUCUUCCUCAAUUCUCCAUAACUCCGGAAUAUUCUAGAUUUUCUUGACUUGUCUUGAGUACAUAAUUAAGUUGGCGAUGAAUUCUUUAAAAAAUAUAUUAUCGAAUUUUGAGAAAAAGUUUAUUUAUGUAGCUUGACUCAUUUAUGUCAUUGUCGUUUGAGAAAAGACAUAUUCAUGCUAUUAUUUUUUAGGCAUAUUACAUGAAUAUGCCCUUUAACUUGAUCUCCUUUCACAUUUAUGUCCUCCAACUUUGAAUGUGCACAAGUACACACUUAAACUUGUAUAAAAUUAAACAAACAGACACAAACGUCCUACUGGCAUCCUACAUGAAAAUUUGUGUCCUAUGUGGUGUCUGUUAGGAUUGAAUUCACGCACUCACACUUGAUGAAUGAAGAACACAAGAACUUUCGAAAGAAAGAGAUGAGAGAUCUAGAGAGAGAAAUAUAAAAUCCAAUAUUUCGUGGUAACACCCCGUGAGUAAACUUCCACGGUGGUGAGGUAUAUUUAUAUUAAUAAAUCAGAAUAUUUUUUAUUGCAGAGAAUAAAUAGUAAAGCCUAAAAUUUCCAUAACCCCUGGCAAUCUCACCGCGGAGGUUAAACCACAUAAACAAUUAUAUAUAUUAAUCAAGCUCCACAACCUAACAGUGUCUUGCAUGUAUUAUGACAAGUAGGACUCGUGUGUCUAUUUGUUCGGCUUUACACUAAUUUAACUGUCUUUUUGUGCACACUCAAAAUUGAAGGACAUAAAUACAAAAUAAGACUAAGUUAAAUGGUAUAUUUAUGUAUUAUACCUAUUUUUUAAUUCCAAUUAUGCAAAAUCAUUUUUUAAACCUGACCAUUUAUUAUUCGACCACAUCAUUAAUUUUAAAACGUGAAUAAUCUGACAUAUUGUCUUUGCCAAUUUAUCCUCCCAAAUUGGGAUGACACACCCAAUUUUUAUAUUCUAUUAAUUGAGUAUUGAGUACUGAGGUGAUUUCUAAUUAACAUAAAAUCAUAUAUAAAACUAUAAAUAUAGAAACAUGUGAAAUAAGAUGAUUAUAUGGUUACUAACAUAAUAAGAUAUGAUUUGUAAAAAAAAUUUAUACACAUCAAUACAGUAAGGUUAUUUGCUUUCAAUUUCUAUUACCACUUAACAAUGAAAUCAAUUAAUUAGCUAUAAAGAGGCAUAUUUAUGUAAUUUCUAAAGAAAAAUGGAAUUGAGCAUAUUAUUGUACUUAUUUUAUUAUUUAAACCAAAAGUGACAAAACUUAAGGGACUAACUAUUAUAUUUGAAGGGUACAAAAUGGAUACUAUCCCUAUACAUAAGUGAUAAUUUUGUCUUAAAAAAGAACUCUGAUUAUUUCAGUUGCGAUUUUGGUAAGCAGAAUCUUGAUCCUAAAAAGAAAAAUACUUCAUUAUGAUUUCUUCAUUUUGAAGACAAGUUUGAGUUUGAAAUUCUCAUCGUGUUUGUCACCUACUAUGUUUGAACUUCACCUCAUAAGUUAAGUUCUAUUUGUGUUUGUCGAACAAUAAUUGAAUCAAUGACAUCUUUUGCCUCAUAUGCCACAUCUAAAACACGUGGCCAGAGAUCCUUGUACCAUUCUUGCUCAAUAUUUCUUAUCCAUUCGAGGUCUUGUUUCACCAGCCCAACUUCUUCCUUUAUCAAAGCAAUUGAAUAAGCAUUGGAAUCCAACAAAUCAUCUAAGUGUCUCUGUAGAAGAUGCAUGAAGAGAGGUCCAUGAAUGAUAAACAUGUUUGAGAUAAACAUCGUUCUACAACUUGAUUUAGAACGAUGUUGUGAGCUUAUAAUCAAUAUUAUCCCUGAGGCUAGCAAAGGACACGAUGCAUGUCGUAUUUACAUGCAACGUUGUUGUCAACAUAAUAUAAAAUUGAUUGAAUCAGAUUCUCAACCUCUCGUCCUUUGGCAGUCAUUACAUCUUCAAACUACUCCAAAUCAGAACAUUUCAGCUUUUCAACUUGAUCCACAUCAACAACUUUUUGAUUUUUAUCAUUCUUCAAUCUCUCUAGGAAAUCCAGAACAUCGAUAAUGUCCUUGCAAAGAGCAGAAAAUAAUACCUGCGAGAAUAACACAUAUCAAAUUUUUAAGGCCACACGAUAUCUACAAUUCAAUACUUUACUCUCUAUCAAAUACUAACAUACCAAUGAGUUGCUUGCUAUUGUCGUUUUUCCAUGAUUGUAAUUUUCCUUUCAAGUUCUGCAUAAAAAGUACACACAAACUUUAUCAUGUAAGAAGUCACCCUGCUUCUCACCUAGUAAGAAUUCACACUUACCGGAUGUUUAAUACCAAACUAAUACAACUUAUCAUGGGUAGGUAAUGAUUUAAUAAGGUGAAUAUAAACAUUAACUAAUCAUAAUUAAGUGAUAAUGUUGUCAGUGACGGAGUCAGAAUUUUUGCCAAGAGUGUUCAUACUUUAGGAAAAAACAGAAUAAUGAAUAAAAAAAUUGUCACACUUGGGCUCGAACUUGAAGCUAGAGGUAUUCUUGCACAGCCUUAACUGCUGGGCUGACAACCUUUAUUAUGUCAAGGUUGUUCAACAAUUAGUAUAUAUCUAAAAAAAAUCGAUAUUUAGUAUAUAUUCGGAAAUUUUUUUUGAUGAAGGUUGUUCAUCUAACCAACCUUGUCAAGCUAUAGCUCUGCCCUGAAUGUUGUGCAUCUAUUGAUUUGUUGUAAAUCGAUGGUGUUAGUACGUAUUUAAUUCUCUCUCUUUCUCCUGCAUUUUGUUUCUGUUUAUAGAUUUCAUUUUCCUUGCAUCAUUUUUUACUUUUCGAUAAUUUUACUUCAAUAGAGAUGAGAGUAGCAACCUUUUUACUUGAUGAUGAAACUAUAUAUCCUUUGCUUGCUUUGAUAUUAGAUUUAUAGUGCUCAAAAUUCUUGAAGUAAACAGAAUACGGUGAAAGAGAGUGAGCGCACUCUGCCUACAUUCUUGUUCUUCAGGAUAUAACAAUUCAAUAACGUCGGUAUAACUCAAGAAACUUCGAAUUAAUUUAAUAGUCCAAAACUUCACAAAAAAAAAUAUUUUUCUUCAACAUAUAAUUAUUCUCUUUUAUAUAGUGAAUAUAGUCGAAGAUUUUAGAGUAUUUUUCUUUGUCUCGACUCUAUUUUCACUAUAUUAAUCUCAAUAUAAACACAAUGUAGUAUUCCUCGUCUUUUUCACUCCACAUUUUCUUGUAUAUCUUUUGUUAUCAAAACAAAGUAAGACCAUCACUAUUCAAUGGUGAUACUUCCUUGCAAUAAAUAAAAAGAUUAUAGAAUAGUAAAUAAAGUAAAUAAAUAGUCCAAAAGUUACACAAAUUACAAACAUAAUGUAUUCGAAUAAUAACAUUCAAAAUUCUUCUCUACUAUAUUAAACUUUGUUGUUUGAAAUAAAGUCAAACCUUAAAAUUUUGUGGAUGCAAAAUUCUAAAAUUUAAAAAUUACAGAGUACUAAAUUAAUAAUUUUUAUAUAUUCAAUAAAUUUCUUACUACAAAUUACUCUUAUAUUAGAAAAGGCAUGUUCAACAUGCCUGCUUCAUAGGUCUGAGGGUAUUUUAGUCUUUUUAGUACUCCAUUCUGGCUACGUGUCCUGUUGUUGUGCUUUCAAUGUACACGUUACUGCAGACUACCGAUACAUCAAAAGUUCUCCUUUCUCCAGCAUUCUGUUGAGGUAAGCUUCUUCAUAUGAUUUCUUUGGUUUUUUUGUGAUCUUCUUUGUUUUCCUCAAAAUUGAUGAUUUUUUCUUCUUUUUCAGUUGGUUUUAGUGUUGAUGUUCAAUUUUUGUUAUGUGGUUGUGUUUUUCCUGUUUAAUUACUGAUUUUUGCUUUGUUUAUUACAUGCAACAAUUAAUUUAGUCUGUCUUCAUCAUAAUUCUUUUGAAUCUUAUCUGUUCAUAGAUGGUUCUUUGUCGAAAUUAACUUUUUGGGUUCCUUAAUUCCAGUUGUUUUUUCCAUCAUACUUCUUUUGGACUUCCUCUGUUUGUAUAUGUUGGUUUUCCAUUGGAAUUAACUUUUUGGGUUUCUUCAUUUUAAUCAUAUACUGUUGUGGGUUUCGCUUCGAGUUCUUUUUACAUCAUUGCAUUAACUUUUUGAAAUUAUUUUAAUUUACAGUGUGAAAAUUUAAAGAUCUGCAACUACUUAUGCCAGAAUUUGAACUAUCGAUGUGUCUUCUUAGCAAAUUCAAGGAUCUGGAACUACUUAUACCAGAUUUGAACUACGGGUAUGUUCGUUGAUGGUUUCUUACGCCCUUUAUUCCGAUUUUGCUCUUUGUCCUACAUUAGAUACGUCUAUGAGCUUUCUUGCUAAAGUGCAUCUUCAUUAUCUGAGUUGUGUGUACUGAAGGACCUGAGAGAAUUAGAGAACCGAUUAUUAUGGGUGCUUCGUUUGGUCAUGGGGAGAAAGUCAAUCUGCAUCUAGCCAGGGAAGCUGGCCACUCCUAUUGCCAAAUUGUCCGUGCUGCUAAUAUGAGAGUCAGAGAGAUAGAAAAGGCUCUUAUUAGAGGCAAUCAUUGAGUAUCCUACAACACACGUGUUUCAACACCAUUUGCUAUAGAUUUGUUGACCAAUCAAGUAAGUUUAUUCAUUUAUAGCAACUGUUUGUGUUGGUUAUUAUGGAGAAAAUUUUCUGUUCUAGCAUCAAUUUGGUCUGAAAUGAAGGGUUGUUGCUUUAAUCUAAUCAAACUUGGAAUUAUUCUUUUGCUUAUGUGUCAUAGUUGAUUCGAAUGACAUGCAUUCAAACAAUUGCUAUGUUGUCGAUGUCUUAAAGAUAUUCAUGUAUUAUGAUGUAUGAAUUUGUGUAGGUGCACUAACUAUGAUUCUAAUGAUGUAUAAAUGACAUUUAACGAAGUUUCGACCCGACUAUAUGUGAUCUGUAUGUUGUGAAUAUUGUACAAUGAUUUGCAUAUGCUAUUGGUUAUGAUACUUGACUUCAUAUGCAUACCUGAAAAAUAUUAGAUCUCACCUAUAUAAGUGCUCCCAAAAGCUCUAUUAAUUGGCAAUAUUACUUACUAUUAUUGUGUCUUAAAAAUAAAUUCUCAACAAAAUGGGUUUUCAAUGAGUUGUUGAACUUCUGCUUGUCUUACAUUUGUAUUUUCCUAUUGGCUCAUUUGUUUUUUUUAAAAAAGAUUCAUUGGCCUGUUCUGGUGAAAAAUAUUGUCAAUAACUUAGAGCUAUUGGAGUUAGCAAUUUCUUUAUUGAAAAACUGAAGAUCUUCUCGAAAUAGCUCUUAUUACUCUUUUUAUUAAUCAAGUGGAGUGUCAAUGGUAUGAUCAAAGAGAAGGUAAUUGUAUAUGACGAGAGCUGAUACAUGAAAAAUGCAUUUUUUGAACUUGUCAAGUCUAUCAGUGAGCCAAAAUUGUGUUGUUGUUGUAGUUAUAACUUAUUAUUCAUUACAGCUGCAUAUAACUAUGGCUAUAGUAUUAUUGAUGUAGUUACUUUGUGAAGAAGGUUGACUCAUCAUCCAACUUUAUAGUGAUAAUUAAACAAGUUUAUUUACUAGCUCUUCCUUUUGAUUAAAUUAACAUAAUUUUUUGUGUAGUUGUCCAUAUUAAUUUUCAGGUUUUGUAAAAAAUUGCAUCCUUUAUUUUCCUCUUUACUUUUUUUUCUAUUUUUUUAUUUGCUAUUUGGAUAUUAAUUGUUAAGUGUUAAUUGCUAUCAUUUUUUAUGCUAUGCUUAGUUUGUGGACUAAUAGUUCAAAGAAGCUUAGCAGUCGUCCCUAUUCUAGAAAUUGAAUGGUAAUUCUAUAUUUUAUACUGUUAAAUUUAUAUAUUAUCAGCUUAGCUUAGUAGGAGAAAGUUACAACAUGUGGGAAAUGAAAAGGCUAGAAAUACUCAAAAAUGAACCAAGCAAGUCAUGGCUUUUGUUGGCUUCUGCAAUAGGAAUGAGAUUACUAUGCUAAAAUAGAAAAAUGAAGACCCCUUUGUAGAAUGCAACAUCAUUAUUUGUUCCUUGCAUAAAUAAUCUAGCCCAAAUUUUUUUGUUCCUUGCAUAAAUAAUCUAGCCCAAAUUUUUUUGUUCCUUGCAUCAGUGUUAUUAUCCAUGCUCUUGAAUAAUUAAAAGCAUAAUAGUUGCUCCUCUUUUUGGCACAAAAAUACUGAAUUCAUAUUAUUGUGAGUUGUUUUUAGGAAUAUUAUUAGUUGGCGAACAAACAAUUAAUUUUUGUUCCAUAUUUUCAAGACAUCCAUAAAGUUUCAUCCCUUUAGAAUAUUGAAGGAAAAAUAUAUCGCUGAGACAUUUAUUUGUUAAAGUAAUUCAUGGUUUGUAAACAUCUUUUAUUGAACUUGAAAUCCUAAUGUUUCUCUAUUUAAUUAAGGUAGAACAAAAAAUGAGAAGGUAUGUGCAGGUUUGGACAAUGCGAUGAGAUGUGUUGUAAGAGUCAUGUUCUGAAGGAUUAACAAUGGAGUGUUUAUAUUGUUCGUGCCCCUGACUCUACUUGCUAUGUGAGGUUUGUCAUCUCUCCGUUUUAUCACUUUGAAUUUAUUAUAUGGAUGGUUCCUCACUCUUUGAAAGUGUAAAAUGUUUUUGUAUUGAUAUUGUGCUGCUGUGACUAUGUUUAUUGAUGCUCUUCUUAUGGCCUUUUAGUUUCUAUAUUUGUAAGGAGUUUGAGAUUUUUAUUUCAGGGUUUGCCAAUUGAGGAUUUAGGAGUGCAAAUGUAUUCUUUCAUUUCACAGCUGAGUUGAGCAGUCAUAUGUUAUUGUUGUGCGAAAUUCGAGAUAAUACGUGAAAAUAUAAACGCAAAAAACAAGACAACAGAUUUACGUGGUUCACCAAUAAAUUGGCUACAUCCACGGGGAAGAGAGGGAGCAGUUUUAUUAUGGAGAGGCAAAAACAGAAUUACAGAAUAGGGUUUGCCAUAGCGUCUAUAUAUAGUGCUAAGCUACGCCCUAACAGACUUGGGCCCAACAUACAGAAUUGACAGAUAAUUAAGGGCCCAACAGCGAGACCCCCGUCCUUUCUGUUGUAACGGGUCCGAUUCAAGGCAUUCAACAGUUAUGAUUAAAUAUUUCUAUUUCAGAUCCUCAUACUACUUUUUAAAUUACUACUGAAGUUUAGUAAUUUGAUUUCAGUCGUAGUUACGGCAUGAGUGUGUUAUCUAAUAUUUAUAUUCUAUUUUUGAGUUAGUUUUUUAUGUUAGUUAUGUUGAAAUUCAUUUUAUUAACAUGAUAUUAAAAUUAUACCAGCACGUCCAUGUUGUGUGAUUUUCAAUAUUUAUCGCCCUGCUGUGUUGGUGUGAUAGGGUGUCUCCAUAGAUUUCCAGAGUGAAAUGUUGUCUACAAAUGAUGGAUAAUAAUAUGCUGCGGCAGAAAUGUUGAAGUAGUAUAUCAAUUUCUUGCUCUUCAUUAUUAAAGAAAAAUUAGUUAAGUAGUUUCCUCAUUUAAAUUUUAGUUGUUUAGUAAUAAUUUAGAAUGCUAAUACAAACUUUAUACUUGCUUCACAUGAUGAGGCCUCAACAACAUUGGUCUAUAGAGAGUUCGUUUCAAUGGUUUUCAACAAGGUGUUUAAUUUGUUCCUACUCUAAAAUGAAUGUGUUAAAGGAAACUUAGACUGAAUAAGAGGUUAGACGUAUCUUCUCUUAGAAACACCCCUAAAAAUUCAAGUUAGUGAGACUGACAAUACUAUCUUUGAUUUGUAAAUCAGUUUACUUUAUUAGUGAAUCGUGAAUUUGUGAUUAAUAAGAUUUGUAAAUCAAUUGUUCCAAGUAAAGUAUAAAGAAACAAUUUAUAUGCUACCAAACUUUGAACCAUGAACUCCUCAAGCCAUGUGUUGUGAAAUAUUGCUUUUGAAACUUUUGUAUGUUGAAGUGUUUGUAACAGAUGUAGGAUGUGGACAUGCUUUCUUCUCUUUAUUUUUCUAGGGAAGUUGAGGCAGAAUCUGAGAGUGAGAAAAAGCCUAAACAGAUUUAAAAACUAUUUAUUUAUUCAUCAUGUAGACUAUUUAAUUAAAAAGGAAUACAUCUUUAAUUAAAUGUAACUAAAUCUGUUAGAACAAUAUCUAGGAGAAGAAGCUAAAAUAGAAUACAAUAGACUACCAACUAAAAGGUUAUACCAUAUAGAAUUAACAUCCUCUAAAUAAAUCAAAGUUACAUAAGUUAGGAAUUCCCUCUCCCAGCGCCAAAAUGUGAGUCUAAACCUCUGUCUCCUACAAUUUUAUCUAAUAUUUAGUGUUAGUCCGCCUAAAAGAUAAUGAAAUCCGCAGAUUUGAACAGACCAUAAAAGUUAAUCCUGAUGAUGAUGAUGAUGAUGAUGGUGAUUCCAACACGGAAGACGAUAGGGAUAACAAAGAGAAGGCUGAGGAAGCUGAUGAUGGGAACAAAGACCGUAGUAAUUGUAAGAGUGAUCCGCUUAUCACAGAUCAUGUUAGAGUCCUUUGGAUGGAUGAGUCUGAGUCUACAGAGAGUAGUAAUAAUGUCAUAGUUGUCGAUAGAGGAUUUCUGCAUGGUGAUUAUGUUGCUGCAGCUUCUGAUCCAACAGGUCAAGUAGGACUCGUGGUUGAUAUCAAUAUAUCUGUAGAUUUAUUAGCGCACGAUGGCUCUAUUUUUAAAAAUGUCUCAUCUAGAGAGUUGAAACGUGUUCGGGGUUUUACAGUUGGUGAUUAUGUUGUCCUUGGCCCUUGGUGGGGUAGAAUUGAUGAUGUUUUUGAUAAUGUCACAGUGAUGUUUGAUGAUGGUUCUGUAUGUAAAGUUAUGAAGGCUGACCCUUUACAUCUUAAACCAGUUGGUAGGAAUGGCCUUGAAGAUGGACAUUUUCCUUUCUAUCCUGGUCAGCGUGUAAAAGCUAGCUUCAUCGUCAGUUUUCAAGAAUUCCAGAUGGUUAUCUGGCUCAUGGAAAGCAAAUAGGUUAGAUUAUGAAUUCGACUCUGAUACGUAUAUUAUUUGGUAGGUCAUUUUCUAUUGACAGAAUUAUUUAUAUAUAUAUAUAUAUAUAUAUAUAUAUAUAUAUAUAUAUAUAUAUAUAUAUAUAUAUAAUUCAAAGAGUUAUGUACUAAUUUUGUAUCUAUUUUUUCAUCUAUAUAUACAUCGGUAUUAUAAGAAUAAUGUCUACGUUGUAUUUUUUCUUAAAUCUGUUUCUUUUUGUCUUUUUUUUCUCUAUUAGACUUCUUAAUUUAGUUUUCUAUGAAUGUUUAAUUACUGUAAGUCUUUACACUUAUUUUGUAACCAGUUUCUGAUAACGUGCAUUGCACAUUUGUCCCUUACGUUCAUUACAAUUUUUUUUAUUUAUUUAGAAGUGAGUUAUAAGAUAUUGAUAUUGAAAUUAACAAUAUUAAUUUUACUAUUUAUUUUUUAUUGAUUAAAAUAAAUCAUAAAAUAGAAUGGUGCAUUUGCUAUCAAACCAGAAAAUGUGAAUCAUGACUUAAAAUGUCUAUGAAUUCGUGAUAGAAAAAUAAUAAUAAAUGUAUCUAAUGCCUUUAAUGAAAGAACAAAGGCGCGAGACAAAUUUAUCAGAAAUAUAAAUUUCAAUUACACAUUUUGCAUUUUCUAUAAAGAACAUAAACAUCGAAGCUUAACGACAAUAUGAUAAGAUUGUCUUGCGAACACAAUUACUUGUGAUAAGUCCAUGGGUCUAUAUAUGAGUAUAUUCUGAUGAUAUGAUGUUUCAGUAUUCAUGAAAAAAUCAUCACUCUAUUCAAAUAGUAAAAAUAAUUAAUAUGUUUUAGUUUUCAAAUUUAAUUUUUAAUAAACAGAAAAUAAAUUAACAAAAUAAAAAAAACAGACGAACCAAUAAUAACAUUAUAAACAUGCUUAUGAUGAGUCAUAUAUAAUUUGAAGGAAACAAUACUACAAAUUCAAACUGAAGAGAAAAUAAUAUCUAAGACAUACUAAGAUUAAAAUAUGUUCUCUAACUAAGAUCUUAAUCUUAAUCACCCAUAAAUUAAAUAGGGAAAGAAAAGACUCUUGUAAAAGAAAUGAUGAUGUAUACAAUUUAAAAGCUUGUAUGUGAAAAUAAGAGAAUAAAUAUAUUGCAUAAAAAAAUUAUAGAUGCGAAAAAUACCAUGUGUGAUUCUUAAAGGUAAAAUUAUUUUACUAUUACCUGUAAAUUAUAUACUUUCAUCAUAUUUAUUGUUGAAAUUUCACCUUUUAAAAAAUGAAAAACAAGCUAAGAAAAAAAAAGUAAAAAGGGUAAAAAGGAACAAAUAAAGACUAAUAAAAUAGAGAAAGGAAAAAAUCCAGUGAAUAUCCUGAUUGAAACAGCGUUAUAGAAAUACUCGGAUAAAUCAAUAUACCUUGAAUUUCAAGAACACUUCAAAUUGCAUCACAUAUAAAUCUAAGAAGAGACAUAUUCUACAAUAAGAGGAGGGGGGAUGGGGGGUUGGAAGAAAACAACAACAAAGAAAUAGUGUUAAAAAUUUGACACCUUCCAAUUUCAAAAAAGAAAAAUGAUGAAGGGUAGGGGAUGCUGGAGGACUAUGAGAUUUCUAGGAACAUAAAAUCAGUUUCUCACCGUGUGGUUGUCGAGAAAUCGCUGCAGACACCACACUUCAUAUGUUCUUCAUGAUUGUCUUAAAGUCUUCGAUUUCUUAACUAAAAUAACGUUCCUAUAUCUUCUAUACCUUUUGAAAUGUAUAUGAAAAUGAAAUAAUUUACUUAAAGAUAAACAUAGUUUCUUUAUUUACCUGAAGAAAGUCAUUAUUUCACUUGGAAAAAAGAUUUAUUACUUUCAAUUGCCUUUUUGUUUAUCCUAUUCAUGGUUAUUUAAAUGUAAGUUUAACUGUUGUCUUUUCAUUUAUCCUAAUUAUUGUAAUUGAAGUGUGAAUUUAUUUUUUUCAGGUCAUUAAAAAUGAAAAUAUUAUGCUUUUAUUUUCAUAUAAUGUUAUAUAUAUUCAAAUAAUGUUCAAGUGAAGGGUAAAUUCGUAAUUCAACUUUGAGCUAAAGGACUUCCCACUUAUAAUAUAACUAGUCUCCGAGCACGUGCGUUGCACGUGUAUCCCAAAUAAAAAUCAAUAAAAAAAUAAAUGAAAACGUAUAUAAUAAACUAUUAGGAGAAUUAUGAUGUUUUUUUCGAGUGUUCUUUCGAUAUUUUCGAUCUACUGCACAUUAGAUAAGUCUCCAAAGCUUCCAAGAAAGACACAUCAAGUUAAAGAAUUAAAAAGGGAAAAUGCGACGUUACUUAAAGUCAUCUGGUAUCCUUAAUGUGUAUCGUUACAAAUGUAACUACUUCCUUAAAAACUUUCAGAUAUACCCAGACUUACAUUUACAGGCUUACAACUACUAUCCAUCACUGUUAGAGAAGACUUGGAGUUGCUACAUUUGUUGAAGAAAAUGUGAUAUAUUUUGCUAGCAAACAACUGCAAUUUCAAUUUAUUAUUAAUAGUUUGAAAGUUUAAACAUGGUUUCUUUUCUGUGGGAAGCUAUGCGUAGAGAGUUUCAAAGAGAGUUGAUCAUCAUUCAGCAUCAAACCAUAUGUGUACAACAGCAUUCAAUUUUUGAUAUGUGUGAUUAUACCUUUCAAGCUAUUUAUUUUACCUAUUAAAAAAAUUAGAAAGUUAUCAUUCAAAUGAAGUUAGCAAAUCAAACGAAAAAAUCUAGACUUAAUAAGAUUGUACCUGAAAAUUAGAAGACAUUUUUGUACCCACUUAACAAUGGAAGCUUGUGUUGAAUGACUAAUAUUGAGUAUGUUUAUGUAGUGUAGUCUUGGAGAUUUGUUGAUAAAAACUCUUUGAUAUUCCUCAAUUACUUAAUUUGAUCCUUUUCAACUUCUCAUAAUUAGCAAAAUACGUUUCAACUUCUAUAUUAAUUGAAACUUUAUUAGUGUUCAUCCUAUUUGGUUGUUUCACACAUAGUAAUUGAAUAGACUGUUGAACUUCUUAUUUUGUUCCUUUAUUAUGUAAUUCAAUAUUACUAUUUAAUUAGAUAUUUAAUUUAUAUUUGGGAAAAGUAUUUUAUUACUUUUUAAUUUAGUAUAGGGGCAAAGUAGUAAUUCAACUUUACACUUUAGAGCUUCAUGCUUAUAAUAAUACUAGUUUCUGAGGACGUGUUUCGCACGUGUAUUCUAUGUGAAUUUUUAUAGAUAUGUUAUAAUGAUAAAAAAUUUAUGGAAAUAUAUAUGUAAAUUAAUGAAUAAUAUAAUUUAACAAUUACAAAAUAAGAAUAAAGACUUACGCAAUAAAACAUUCAUAAAAAAACUAAAUUAAGAAGUCUUAUGGUGAUAAAAAAAAAAGACAAAAAGAAACAGAUUUAAGAAAGAUCCAAUGUAAAAAUUGUUCUUAUAAGACUGAUGUAUGUAUAGAUGAAAAAUAAGUACAAAAUUAGUACAUAAUUCUCUGUGUUUUUAUCAACUCCUUUCAUAUCCUAUCAAAAUUCAAGACGUUUCUUCAUCUACUUUAACUAUAGAAUGAAAAUGAUAGCCUAAUAAUCUUGGUAGGGAUUUCAUGAGAUUAAAAAAGUUGAAUUUAUAUAGAUAGAAUAGAAGGAAUAUCAAAAGAUAUAUUAAAGUUUUAGUUUAAAUAUUUGGAGGUUAUGAAUAUGAAAAGAUGAGAGUUAUGAAUAUUUAGAGUAUAAAGUUGAAUAAGUAAUUAUCAAAUAAUAAUAAAUAAAUGAAAACUAUGAAAAAAGAAGUUAAAAUUAGCAAACCAUGUAGAAAGAACAACUAAAGUUCUUAUCACGUAAUUAAGCGUUAAUGAAUUUAAAUUUGUGAAGAUAGAGUCAUUCUUUAAUAAUAAUCGAGAGGACAUUAUCAACGUGUGUCUCCAUUUUGCAGAUUUGCACCCUUUAUAUUAUUAAAUUCGUUAUUUAUCAUAAAGGAUAAUACUUUAUCCACAUAAAUUAUAUUAUUCAUGAGAGGAGUUAAGGAAAAAGUUAUGAGAAAGAGGAAAAUAUAGCAAUUUAGUAAAGACUUUUUUUUUAAAAAAAAAUUAUAAUUAUUAUAUACAUAUAGAUUAUAGAUGAUAAAUAUUAAUUAAUUGGAUAUUUAAUUAGAAAUCAAUCUUUAGAAGUCUAAAAGUCAUUAACCUUUUAAUUAAAUUUAUACAAUUAAAUAUUUAAAUAUUUUAUAACAAUUUAAUUUAUAGAAGGGGUAAAACUGUAAUUCAACUUUCAACUUUUUUUGUUCAUGCUUUUAGUAAUAUAUGAUAUGAUAUGAUUGUUACAUUUUAUUAUUCAUUACAUUUUGCAUAUAUAUUUCCAUGAAAUUUAGUCAUUCUAACGUAUAUAUAAAAAUUCACAUGAAACACACGUGUGAAGCACAAAGAUUUAUAUAAUCAAAAAUUCAAAAUUGCUGAUUUUCAAGAUUAUCAGCAUAAUUUCUUCCUCCCAAAGGAAGUGUCCUACUCUCUCAGCCAUCAGUUGAAACAGAGGUAAGACACAUUCAACAAUCUCGUGAUCAAUGCAACCAUUCACUAUCAAUCCAUGGAAAUCUCUUACGUUUCUACAUACAUUCUGAAGAACCUCAUACUCCAGGAAACAUCUUUUCAGCACGAUGCCUCGCUAGAUGAUAGAGAUUCAAGAGGAGGAAGUACAAUUGCUCAUCCAUCAUGAUGGCAUCUGAUUUAGAAUGACGAUGAUCAUCCAUAUUACCGGCGAGGCUAGUAAGGACAUCAUCAUCCAAAAUUGCUUGAAGCAGAUUCUCAACCUCUCGUCAUUAUAUCUUCAAACUGAUCCAAAUCGGAAUAAGAAAGCUGAACAUAUGUACAAAUAAAUGCCAGCUCCAAUUUUCGCUUUUCAAUUAGAUCCACAUCAACAUCCUUUUGAUCUUGUUCAUUCUUUAAUCUCUCCAGAACAUUGGCAACGUCCUUGCGAAGAGCAGAAAAUGACAUCUGCCAAAAGACCAAUCAAAUUUACAAAGCCACAUUUCUACCCUGCAAUAACUGCUGACAUGUUAUAUUUCAGUGCCCAAAUAUUUGACUUAUACUUCCUCGAUAGCUAACACAUAGUCCAGUCACUUCAAUGAUAUAAAUAACGUUUGAACAUUGGGACUGUACAACCAUUCAUUCUCAACUAUAAAUAUUAAUAGCCUACUAUAUGGCUUGUUUACCCAGAGUAAUCGAAAUUUAAUUUGUAGACAAAAUAUAAUGAUACUAACUCGCUAUAUAUUUAGUAGAUAAUGUGCUUGAUUAAAAUCUUACUAGAAAAUGACAUUUAGCUUGACUUCGGUGGAUAAUUGUGACCUUUAACUUUGCCGGUGCACAAGUAUGCUUAUCUGCCACAAAGGAAAGAGAUAAGAAAGUUAAUCAAACUUUCAAUAGUCUCAGUUUGAAGUCAAUGAAGUGAUUGAGAGAACUCAGGUUCAAAUUUCAGUGGAGUUAUCUGAUACCUGUUGCUGGUGCGUGUUUUCAAUAGUCAUGGCUCGAUACAUUAACUGUUUUUUUUCUGAGAAGGGAUACAUGAACUGUGUUUGUGAUAAAAGAGAUAAAUUGAUUGUUAGUUGUAAAACCAGAAGUUUCCAAGAGAAAGAACAAUAAUCCUAAUUUAUUAAUUGUGUUGCUGCUUUUGAUAAAUGCCAGGGAUAAAUAAACAGUGUAAUGAACUUCAGUGUUUAGUGAGAUAACAUAGUUAAACAAUUGAUGUCGAGUGAACUCUUUGAAUAAUUUAGUGGUCUGCCAUAUGAAGAAUAACUUGAUGUUGCACAAAUCCUACAUUUUGACAAUUCAUGUUUAUCUUUCCUAGUUAGACGCUUCAUUAGCUUUUGAGCUCUUCUUGUUCAGUGGCUCUUUUGCAUAAUUGGUUAUCCAGCUUACGCUUUAAGGCACUUGGAAUGGAUGUGAUAGAGGAGAUUACCAACACUAGUAAGGAACUUCAAGAUCUUAGGGUGUUUCCUUCUGAUCCAUGACCUAAUGUAUCCUUGACAGAGCAAGGCCUUGUAAGUGUCUCCAUGGGCUGCCCUAAGCUUCAGUCAGUUUUAUACUUCUGCCUCCAAAUGAUAAAUGACGCCUUAGUUACUAUUGCUAGGAACCGUCCUAACAUGAUCCAAUUUCAUUUAUUAUUGAGCCUCGAACUCCUGACUUGAACCACUUGAUGCUGGUUUUGGGACAUUGUGCAACACUGCAAGGAAUUGCAGCAACUUUCUCUUUCUGGCAUCCUUACAGAUCGUGUGUUUGAGUACAUCUGGGUCCAUGCUAAGAAGUUAGAGAUGCUUUCCUUAGCUUUUGCGGGGGAUAGCGAUCUAUGUUAAUCUUUCACCCGCGUAUACUUGCUUGAGCCUUGUGUAGUUGUAGUGCUGGUUAUGACCCUUUGUUGAGCGACUUUGCAGCAAUAUCAUUUUAAAGUUCACUACACGGCCUAGCUUUUGUGAUGAAAGUUCGCUGGGUUUGUUAUAGAGUAGUAUCAAUAUCGUUUUAAAUCAGUACCUUGACUAAGCUUUGAGCAUAUAAAUGGGACUUCAGACGAAGUUAGACAUAAAGGAGGUUUGGACAGCCAAAGGCAAAUCCACGGAGUAAUCUAUGAAUUCAUGUGAAUCCCUCAAUUUCUGUCAAAAUCCUAUACAUAUGUGAAUCUAAUUGUUAUUGAUAUUAACAUGAGGUCGCCACAAAUACUUGUAAACAUCAAAUCCUGGAUUCCUCUUGCAUACGGAUAAUACAGAUGUAGUAAUAUGCAGUCUACUAGAAAAUUAAUGUGUAUGUGAAUGGAAAGAAAAAAAAUAAAGAGAGAACGACAAUGGCAAACAACAUAGCAUAGGAAUAGUAGUUUGGUAUACAAGAUUAAUGUUUAUAAUAUGAACUUCAGAUAGUUACUUCAAUCUGGACAAAUUAACAAAUGAUACGUGUACUUAUAAAAAUUAUAUUUUUUGUUAAAAGAAACUAAGAGGAAUCUCAUAACAGGAUAUUUUAAUCAUAUACAAUAUCACCCAGCAAAGUUCAACCAUAAUGCUACUUAAAUAAGGGGAUAUUCUUCUGGCCAAGGAUCUGAAGCUCGCUCCCUCCUCUCAUAUCUUCAGCGUAUUCCUUAAUCUUGAGAGCAGAAUCUUCAAGUUGAGGACUCUUUACAAUUUUGAUAACUUUCAAUGAAUAAAUAUCUCCAAAACUAGGUGGAAUCUCCUCAAGCUUACGACAUCCCUGCAGUUUUAACUUCUCAAGAUUGGGGAAGGAUUCCUCUCCAACCUCCCACUUGGAAAGAGUCGCUAGACGCAAGUUCAAAAAUUUGAGAUUCUCAAAGGUGUCUUCCUCCCCCAUGUUCCAUUCUUCUCCCUGGAUGAUUGCAUCAUAAAGGGACAACUCUUCAAGGUUGGGCAGUCUCGCUAUUGUUGAUAGUGAAUCGGAUGUCAGAGGAAAGUCAUGCAAUGACAGUUGUUUCAAAUUUGAAGGAAAGUGAAAAUCCCACGGCCGAUUUGUCUUUACAGAGGACCCACUGUGGUUUGUGUUUGAACUUUUAAAACCUACAUUGAGUAUUUCUAGUUCAGUUAGGCAAUCCAAUUUCGGGAACCAAUGUUGCUCUGUUGAAUAAUCCCAUGACUCCUUGAGUUCAAACUGAAGCAUCUGAAGAUUGGGAAACCUUUUGAAAAUAUUCUUUGUAUCUUUCGAAUAGGAAAUCAACAGUUCCCCUAAUAUUCUCAACUUCUCUAACUUUGUGUCCUCUGCUAUCAAUAUUGAUUCAUCUGCAUCCAUAUCAAAGAAAGAACAAGCAUCCGCGAACAGCACUCGCAGCUUUACAAGAUCCCAAAUUCUUGGUAAUAGUAUCAAGGUUGAUUCUUUGUUUUCAACCCACAAUAAUUCUAGAUUCCAGAGGUUUGAGAAAGACAAAGGCAGAUAUUUAACUUGUGUCCCAAUUCUUAAGUACCUCAAAUGAUUCAACAUGCAUAUUUCAUUCAGCAAAGAAUCGUUCACCAUGAUAAAAGAGGUAUCCAGGACCAACACUCUAAGAAGCCUCAAGUGUCUUAGGUGAAAUGUAUCAAAAAGACUGUCAUCCAGCUCGUCUCCAAAAAUCCUCAAAGAAUAGAUGUGUUUACCAGAAUGCCUUUUCUUAUUUGAAUCAAAAAUGACAAAAUUAAGCCCAAAGUGCUCCUCAUCAUCAUCAUAAUCAAUGGUAAUUUGACGAGGCAACAAAUCUGUUGGAGCACUUGAUCUUAUCUGAUCAAACAAAUUUUCCUUUCUUGCUUUUAUCAAACAAAAGUCAUGCACAAGAUCAUGAAUUUGGAAAUUCAGUGCAUCACCUAUCUCAUUGAAACAAAUUACCAAGCUACUGGAAAUUAAAUCAUCCAUAUAAAUCUUCACCACUUCUUCCAUACUGUUCAUCUCCGCCUUUCCCACAAAUCCUUCAGCACCCAAAUAAACAUUAAACUCAUAGAUUGUCAAUGAAGUGUCCUUCGGAAAACUUGCAAAAUACAGCAAGCAUGGCUUGAGGUGAUGUGGUAAAUGGUCAUAACUUAAUUCUAUAACUUUCAUCACUUCCACUUCACUGUUCAAAAUAAAAGAACUCAAACUACUUUGAACUUCAAGCCACACACUCCUUUUCUUUUCCCUCCCAGCAAUGACUCCAGCAAUCAGAUCAGCCACCAAAGGAAGCCCUUUACAAUUUUCGGCAAUUUCUUUACCGACAUCUAAUAGUUCAUCAGGGCAACUCUCGUCCCCAAAUGCCCUUUUCUCUAAUAAUUCCCAACUUUCAUCAGGUCUUAGCAAUCGAAGGUCAAGAGGAUCAGUGUAGAGCUUUCCAUGCAAAGCUACUUCCUUUUCUCGAGUUGUCAAAAUAAUUCUACUUCCUUUCUUAGCUUCAGGAAAAGGUCUUGUCACCUCAUCCCAUGUAGUAGUCUCCCACACGUCAUCUAAGACAAUAAGAUACCUCUUUCCAUACAGUUGUUUCCGUAGCUUAUCAGGAACAUCAAUAUUCUCACUCAAUUUUGAAUCUGAGUCACUAACUUGAUUGAAAAUUUUAUUCAACAACUUCUUCUCAUCACAUCCUUGGUCGACCGUGCACCAUGCACGAAGGUCGAAAUGGCUAGAAACUGACUUAUCAUUGUAUACUUUGUAUGCCAAAGUAGUUUUACCUGAACCCGGCAUACCAGUGAUCGAAAUGACAUCUAGAUCUGCCGGUCCACUGGUGAGCUUUCUAAGUAUCAAGUUCGUCUCCUCCUCAAAACCUACAAUUAUUUUAUUAGUUGUCAAUGACUUUCUCUCAACUGGUUUCUUGGGAGAGUUCACAGCGAUUAGACCUCUGUCCUUGGGAAUGCUCUCAUCUAAAGCAGAGAUCUCUUCUUUGAUAAGUUUGAUCUUCUUUAUGGUAAUGGGAAGUGAGAAAAUAAGAUGUAAGAGACCAUUAUCUCGAACAAUAAUUGAAUCUAUGACAUCUUUUGCCUCAUAAGCCACAUCUAGGACACGUGCCCAGAUAUCUUUAUACAAUCCUUGCUCAGCAUCCACAAAGAAUGAUCUUAUGAAUUCCAGGUCUUGUUUCACCAACUCGAUUUCUUCCUUUAUCAAAGAAAUUGAAUAAGCAUUAGAAUCUAGCAAAUCAUUUAAGUGCAUGUGUAAAAGAUGCAUGAAGAGUGGUCCAUCACUCAUGGGGAAGCAACAUUGAGAUGAAUCCGGGGCUUUCAGAUAAACAUGUUUGAGAUCUUUCUUGAGGAGUUCAAUAUUUUCCAGCAAGUCUAGGGUUGCACAAUUUGUUUGGUUAUUACCCUCUUUAUUCCUUAAUUUCUCUUCCAAGUCACGUACAAGAGUUGAUACCUCCCUGGUAAGUACUCCGACAUGAGCCAAGAGAUCAAAAAGUUUGUCAUGAUGAAUAAAGUCCUUGGGCAUAUCAGAAAGAAUAAGUAAUAGGAAUUCCAUCAUGACAUGAAUGUUUCGAGCCCCUGAAGUGCUAGGGCGAAUAACAGUUAUCAUAUGCUCUUGUAGUUGAAUGAUAUAUUCUCUGAGAAUAUCCGGUGAGGUUUCCAGGAGCUUCUUAAUGAAGCGUCCAACUUCUGCUGAAGUUGAAGCUUUCAAAUUUGUAUAACAUAUGUGCAUAACCUCCAGUUCAGUUGGAACAAUCUUCAAGAGUAGAUGUGUUAGCUGGAAGAGUCGAGAGUCUCUAUCAUUCUGAUCAUCCUCAUCCGAGUCUUCAUCAGUCUUAUCCUCCCAAAGGAAGUGUCCUACUCUUUCAGCCAUCAGUUGAAACAGAGGUAAGACAUUCUCAACCAUCUCAUGCUUAAUGCAACCAUUCACUAUCAACCCAUGGAAAUCUCUUAGGUUGCCACAUACAUUCUGAAGAACUUCAUAUUGAGUCACUCCAGGAAAUAUCUUUUCAGCGUGAUGCUUGGAUAGAUGAUACAGAUUCAAGAGGAGGAAGUCCAAUUGCUCAUCCAUCAUGAUGGCAUCUGAUUUAUAAGAACGAUGAUACAAGCUGAUACAGUCAUCCAUAUUACUGGUGAGGCUAGUAAGGACAUCAUCAUCCAAAAGUGAUUGAAGCAGAUUCUCAACCUGUUGUCUUUUUCUCGUCAUUAUAUCUUCAAACUGCUCAAAAUCGGAAUAAGAAAGCUGAACAUAUGUACAAAUAAAUGCCAUUUUCAAUUUUAGAUUUUCAACUUCAUCUUUGUCAAGAGAUUUUUGAUUUUCCUCAUUCUCUAGGAAAACCAGAACAUCGGCAAUGUCCUUGCUAAGAGCAGAAAAUAACACCUGCCAAAAUAAUACAUUUUAAAGCCACAUAUCUAUAAUUCAAUACUUUACAGUUUACUCUAUAAAAUAACAUACCAAUGAGUUGUUUGCUUCUUCAUUAUCUUUUCGUUUUUCCAUGAUUCUACUUUUUCUCAAGACCUGAUGAAUAAAAAGUAGCUAAAACUUUAACAGGAGAAAGAAGAUGAAAAGAUACGAAUAAUCAAUAAUAUCACUAUUUUCACAUAUAGUAAUUUUAGACUCGCACAAUUGGAAAUGUCAAUCUUAAUCACACAUAAAAAUGUUUAUGACAUGAAGUCACAAACAUAAAAUCUCACAACUGUUAAUUAUUUACAAAAAAAGAAAAAGGAGUCCUGCUCGUUUACCAUUACUUUUCCAACCUAUACAAAGAAGAAAGUUAUCGACUUAAUAAUUAUAAAUAUGUGAUUGUCAAUCUAAUUAUUAUUGAUAUUAAUAUGACGUCGACAUAGAAACUAGUAAAUAUCAAAUCCUAGAUUCGUCUAUGUGUAUAUGGCAUAUAAGGAGCCUACAAGAAAAUUAUUGUGCGUGUGAAUGUAAAGAAAAUAAAAUAAAGAGAGAAUGAGAAUGGUAAACAUCAUCAAAUGUAUCUGUCUAACUUUUUUCUGCCAAAAAGUCUAUAAGGUAAAGGUAAAGAAAACAGUAAUAGGAAUGAUGUUUUCGUGUAUAAGAUUAAUGUUUAAAAUAUCAGCUUUAGAUUUGGCAUCAACCUCAGAUAAAGUUGUGUAUGAUCAAGUAGAAAUCUAUACUUGACAUCGGUGUGUCUCAUGGACAUACUCAUAUGUGAUGACGUGCCAAACGGACAAAUCAACAAAUGAUACAUGUUUUAAAAAACUUGUAAGUUUUCUAAUCGAAACACCGAAAAGUCAAACAAAUAUGUAAUCAUAUACAGAUCUACUCAUUAAAGCAUAACUUACUGUCUAUUCUGCUAUGUUUCUUCUUUCUACUUUCCACCCAUAAUGCUUAAAAGCUAGUUAAAUAACGGGAUAUUAUUCCCUUAUUUUGAUUAAAAUUAAGUAAAAUGUCAUUAGAUUAAUAAUCUCUCUAAUAAUAUUAUUUUUCUCCUAUCUCGACUUGGGCUAAUGGAAAAAGAUUUUUUCUGAGAGUAGCUGAAGUAGAAUCAAUAGAUUAAGCAUGUUCACACCUUUUUGACAUAUUUUUGUUGAAGUAAGAGAUCGAAGAAGUAGUUUGGUUGAAAGGAGACUAAUCAAAUAGCUAGAUCUAGAAUUCAAACAAAGAUUACUAAAAUACAAUUCAUUGACUUCACAAGUCCUUUAAAUACCAAAAGUGCAAGAUUACUAAAAUACAAAUGAGUAGUUUUUGUUGAAAGGAGAACAACAAAAAGCUAGAUCUUAACCAUUUUCAUGUUAUUCUGCUGCGAAUAAAGUUUAGCAAAGAAGAAGAUGGUACCUUUACACAGGCUGAAGUUUAGCUACAGAACCCUUUGUUUGAGAAAUAAUGCUGAACCUAUUGGAGAAAAAAACAAGUGUAGUAGUUGAAAUAUACAAUACAAAUCUUUUUGUAAUGAAAUAUUAAAAUACAAACCCACUGACUUCUCAAGUCUUUUUUUAAUCAAUGUCUUUUGUCUUUCAAUUUUUAUACUGACGAAGAUAAAAACAAGUGGUUGUCAUUUCAUCAAACACAUUGUAGACAUUGGCAAUUUCCACAUUAUAGAAUUUAGGGAAAAGGGUCAAAUAUGCCUUAAAAUAUUUAAAAAGGUCUAGAUAUACCUAAAGUUUGUUCAUUGAUGGGCUCGCCAUUCAAUUUUUGGUCCAAAUAUGCCCUUAUGACCACGUUAGUUGUCAUGUUGGACAUAUCCAACUCAUUUUUCAUUUCUUUAAAUGUCACUUGGAAUUGUCAUGUCAUUUUGGUCUUACCACAUAACAUUUAUAUGAAAAUGGAAAGAUAUUUGGACUCAUAAACACCUAAUCCGACCCUUAAAUAAACCUCCUUUUAAAUAAAUUAUCCGGCUAAUUUUCAACAAUUUUGUUUAAUUUUUAUUUUUUCAAUACAUUCAAAAAAUGAGUAAUUGUUAAUUAAAAAAAUAGGAAAAUAUGAAAAAAGUAUAAGAUUAACGCCAAAAAUUCAUAAAUAAUUAUAGUAACCUAAAUUCAAUUUAGACACUUUUUUUAAAAAAAUCAUUUUUUUCGAUAAAUCCCGAAAUGAGUAAUUGAUUAAUAAAAAGUAUGAAAAGAUAUAAAAUUAACGCCAAAAAUUAAAAAAUAAAUACCGUAACCCAAAAUUCAACAAUUUCAACAUUUUUUUAAUUUUUAAUUUUUUCGACAAAUCCCAAAAAUGAGUUUAUUAACAAAAAAAUAUAAAAAUUACACGAAAAAAUCAGAAAUAAAAAAUAGGAAAAUAUGAAAAAAAAUAUAAAAUAAAAAAAAUGGUUGAAAUUAUUGAAUUUAAGUUUACUAUAUUUAAUUGUGAAUUUUGACGUAUAUUUUUUAUUUUGUUUUCAUAUUUUUCCCUUUUUAUUAAAAAAUUACUCAUUUUCGGGAUUUGCCGAAAAAUAUAAAAAAUUUAAAAAAAUUGUAGAUUGAAAUGUUACUAUAUUUAUUUGUGAACUUUUGGCGUUAAUUUAUAUUUUUUUCCAUACUUUUGAUAAUUUUUAUUAAUUAAUUACUCAUUUUCGAGAUUUAUCAAAAAAUAAAAAAUUUAAAAAAAAUUGAAAUGUUAGAUUUAAUGUUACUAUAUUUAUUUGUGAAUUUUUGGCAUUAAUUUUAUAUUUUUCAUAUUUUUUCUAUUUUUUAUUAAUCAAUUACUCAUUUUCGGGAUUUACCGCAAUAAUAAAAAUUAAACAAAAUAGUUAAAAUUGGUUCAGAUAGUGAAUUUAAAAGGAGUUGAUUUAUGGGUCGGAUUAGGUGUUUAUGAGUCCGAAUAUCUUUCCAUUUUCAUAUAAAUGUUAUGUGGUAAGGUCAAAAUGACAUGACAAUUCCAUGUGGCACUUAAAGAAAUGAAAAAUGAGUUGGAUGUGUUCAACAUGACAACUAACGCCCAUAAGGACAUAUUUGGACCAAAAGUUGGACGGCGAGGGCAUGAGUGAACCAAACUUUAAAAGGAGGAUAUAUCUAGACCUUUUCAAAUUGUUUAGGAGCAUAUUUGACCCUUUUCCCUAGAAUUUAAUAUAGAAUAUCAAAAUAUGAAUUCUUGAAAUUGAGUAUAAUAAUUAUUUUCUUUACAAUGAAUAUAUGUACUAUAUGUGUAUAUGUUCAAUAUAAUCGAAGAAAAUUUUGCAGAAAAAUAAACAACAGAGUUUAAAAUAUGUACUCAAAAACAAUAAUUAAUAUCAUAAGUAUAAAUUAAUGAGGAAAAAAAAACAUACCGCGAUAUGAAAAAAUAGAAUGAAAAAAAUUGAGAAAAAACAGUGUUGUCAGUCAGCGGCAGAUCUAUCAAGGCCCGUGAGGGUGCCACACAACCCACGAACUUCGAAGGAAACUCUAUUUAUAUUUAUAUACAACAUAUGUAUAAAUAAUAAUAGUGCCACUUAGAGAACAAAAGUAUUCUUUGGUGUAGUGGUAGACUAUCAAGUUUACAAGCCAUAGUCCAAGGGAUCAACCCUAUUGACAGCGCUUUUUUGUUUUAUAUUUUUCUUUUUAACCACAUGCAGUGUUUCUUUUUUAAACUACAAGGCACAUUCUCUUUUGAUUUUGAUUUUUUUUAUUAACUUCUUAUUAAGUAUUAAUCAAUAAUUAUUUUUAACUAAUUUAAUUUAACUUUUUGAUUUUUCUUUUAUAUGAUUAAAUAUAAUAAGAAAAUUCUAUUCACCGUUGAAUUCUCCUUUUAACUUUGGAACAACAAAAGUUGUCGUUAAUUAAAGCUUCAGGCUUUCAUCCGUCGCUCAAUCCUGCUCUCCUGUCCAGCCACAAGACGAAUAAUUCUAUCUGAAUCUAAUAUUGAUUUUAUCGAUGAGUCUACUAAGCAUUAGAGACAAUUUAAAAUUUGAAGAUUUUGAUGCACCAAUACUAUUUUAAUUGAGAUAGUUAACAAAAUUUUUACUACAAUUAACGAAUAAUGUAGUACUUGAUUGGUUACUAAUGGCUCGAAUAUGAUUUAUAAGCUAAACUUAAAAUAAAAAAUAAUGAAAUACGAUUGAACUGUAUUCUCGCGAGUGGUUCCUCUGGCUUGUAAACCAACUAAACAAGGGCACCUCUACGCUUCUUAUGGGUGCACUGUUGAUUAUAUCCUACUUUAUGUCAGUAUCUCACGAUAGAUAUACAUAUAUACAUGUAAUUUUUUUGAAGUUAACGGAUGCACGUGCACCCCUAUCAAAUCAUGUGGGUUCGGCUCUGGUUGGCACCCAGUGGCUAUAAUUCCUAAAUUCGCCUCUGCUGUCAGUAAGUCAUUCAACAGUAGCAAAGUACAUAAAUAUUUAAUUUUGCAGAAAUAAAAGAAAAAGAUCAUAAUUGUUUUUUGUUUUAAAAUGAGGGUGUGUUUAGUAUGAAGGAAAACAUUUUUCGAAAAAUAUUUUCCAAUUUUCUCAUAUUUGGUUGGGUCAAAUAUUUUCCAAAUCAAAUCAUUUUCCUCAAAUUUAUGGAAAAUGACCUCCAUUCCAAACUUAAGGAAAACAUUUUCCAAAACUCUUUUCUAACCUCCCCCUACCCACGCCAUUCUACCAGUCCCCAACCCACCCCCUUCCAGCCCUCUACCCACCCACCCAUACCCCUAAAAAGUUUAAGUUUAGUUUUUUAAAAAUAUUUUUAACAUCACAAUUUCAUUUUUUUUUUCACCCCUACCCUCGACCCCCUACCACCCCCAUCCCCAAAAAAUAAUUUAAGUUUGUUUUUAAAAAAAUAUUUGUAACUUCAAAAAUUCAUUUUUUUACCCCUACCCUCGACUUACCCUCUCCCUACCAGCCCCCCCCCCCCCAAAAAAAAAUAAGUUUGUUUUUAAAAAAUAUUUUAAACUUCAAAAAAAAAAAUUCACUCCUACCCUCGACCCCGCACCCCACUCCACUAGCCCCCUACAAGCCCACCCCCACCACGAAAAAAAUUUUAAGUUUGUUUUUUUUAAAAAAUAAAUUCAACUUCGAAAAUUAUUUCCUACUCUAGUAAAAAAUAAAAGACAUUUCUCAAAAGUAUUUUUCAUUAAAAAACAAGCACUAAAAUAUUUUUCCAGAAAAUAUUAUCUACUCACCUACCAAAUAUGAGAAAAUCAGUAAAUUAUCUACUUGUUUUCCAGGAAAAUAUUUUCCAAGGAAUUUCCGUCAUACCAAACACACCCAAGAGUAUAUUCCUCUAUUUAUAGACAACAAAGGGUAGUGUCAACAAAUUUUUAUUGUGCCUUAUUAGAAAGGAUACAACUAUUUGAAAAAAUUGCAACCCUUCGGAAAGUUUACAACGUUUCAUAAAAGUCGCAACUCUUCAUAAAAGUCGCAACUCUUCAUUAAAGUCACAACUUAUUAUAAAAGUCACAACUUUUCAUAAAAGUCACAACUUUUGAUAAAAGUCGCAACUUUUCAUAAAAGACAGAUUUUUUCUUCAAAGAGGAAGGCUCGUUUUAGAAAUAAAUAAAUUUAAAAGAAAAUUAUUGCUUGUGGCGGCGCUACAUAGGUGGUCCUAGGAUUCUCUUUUAUAUAAAUAUAUGAAUUUUUUUAUUAACGUGGUGUUCGGACCAACUUUCACACUUUGAUCUGCUGAAAUUUGAACCUAAAACCAAAUGGUUCUCAUUUCUCAGUCACUUCAUGGACCAUUAGGUCACACUGUUAGGUGCCCAGAUAUAUUCAUGUCCAAACAUCCCUUGGCCAAUUUCCAUAUACCAUUAUUCAACCUUGUAUUAUUAGUUUAUUCUAAUUUCACAUUUUUAAUGUUCAAACGCCCACUUAUAUUCUGCCUGUUUAUAUCAAAAAAUUCCAACAGAUUUGAAUUCAUGGCAUACACUUGAUAUUUUCUCAAAAGUAAAUACUUAAUAGGGAUAACGCACAAGUACCUCCUCAAACUAUGACCGAAAUCGCAGAGUCACACUUAUACUAUACUAAGGUCCUAUUACCUCCUAAACUUAUUUUAUAAAUAAUUUUCUACCCAUUUUCGACCUACGUAGCACUAUCUUUUUGGCCCAGCGUGACAUUUUUUUCUCAAACUGAAAUUAAAAUUUAAACUAUUUUCUUUUAAAAAAAAAUAAUUUGAAGUUUUGAUUUUUUUGGUUGGGGUGAGGUUUAUCAGUUCUUGCAAAAGGCUUAGAAUUAUCAAAGGAUCUGAAGCUAAAGGUUUAGCAAGUCUAUAAAAACAUGGACAUAUAUAUAUAUACACACAUAUAUACAAAUCUGAUAGGAAUGAACAAGUUUGAACAAGUUUCAGUUUUGUAAACUAUCUUGAUUUUCGAUUAAUUACACGGGAUAUAUAGAUCUAGAUCUCAUGUACAAAUAGUUUAUCUUUCUUUUUUUUGAAGAAUUUUCUUGUGUAUUAUGUAUGAGUAUAAAUAUACGGGAAGAAAUACAAAAUUUUAGCACAAUAUGAAGUGUCUAAUCAAUCUUGAUAUUUAAGCACCCAAAUUCAAUAUUUCGCUUUGAUAGGUUCAUAAUCAAGAAUCAAAAUAAUAAUAGAGAUUAAAAUAAACUUCAUUGACUUUUCAAGUCUUUUUCAUCAAUUUUGUAAAUAUGUAUAUUCAUAUUACAAGUCGACUUAGACUUGUGGAGAUUGUUAAUUAGCUUGUGAAUGAAGAUGAUGUGUGUUGUGUCCAUGUAGAUCAUGGAUUUGAGAAGAUCUAAUAUUUUUUUGGUAGUAAAACUUAACUAGUGAACUUAGCCGCGCUUCGCACGAUCAUAAAUAACUCGCUUAAUUUGUCAAAAAAAAGAAUUAAAAUAGUAUUGAUAAAAGUUUUGUGAAGGUUCUUUGUUGUGUUUAAUUGAAAUAUAUCAUAUUUGAAAUCUUAAUCAAGUUUAAAUACUAUUUAAGUUUUUGUAUCCGUUUUAAUUUUAAAUCGCUUAAGCUAAAAGUUCACAUUCAAUGAUCUCAGCCUAUAAUUUUAUUGGAUAUGUGUAGCCCAUGCUUUUAUAAUUUUAUACAACUUUUUUAAAAUCUAUCUUUUAUUUUUAGUAUGUUUUUUGUUUUGUUUGUAUCUUUCUCGCAAAAUUGAAGAAUUUAAACCCAAAUAAACUUGUAAAUUUUGAAAGCUCAAAACAUCAAAAUGUCAUUAUCCUCCUUGUUCAUCAAAUCAAAAUAAUUUUUAAAUAUUUAUUGUGGUUCAAGAAAAUCAAUUAUAUUUUUAUAAAAUUACUCUUUUUCCUCCAAACAUCGUAGUCUCUUACUAUUUUCUUUUUAAUGUUUAUAUUCUUCAAAAGUUGUUAUCCUUUCGUCGAUAAUGAUGAAUCAACUCUCUUUUCAUCUUUCACAAGUCAUAAACUAAUUUUUACUACAAUGUAAUAUACUUAUAAAUUUAUAUAUAAAAAAAUAUAUUGAGAGACAUAGAACCUCAAUUACACAAAAAAUGUAAAGUAUUUGGAGAAAUUAAUUAUUUGAAACAAUCUCUUAAAUGCAUAUAACAAAUUUGAGAAAUUCUUUUUAAACAAACUUUAUCAAAAUCCCAUUGCAAGAAAGUUGAGUCUUUUUUAUACCUUUUUUUUUUUUUUUGAAAAAAAAAGCUUAUCUUGUAGCAUAUGCAUACAAAUUAUAUUAUUUAUUUUGAGAUAAAAAAAAUCAAAUUUUAUUGACUUGUCACGUGCAUUUAAAGCAUGAAGCUAAUCAUACUUUAUCAAUUUCCUUUUAUUUUUCAAGGGAAAAGGGUCUGAUUUACCCCUCAAUUUUGUCAUUUGGAGCUGAUAUACCCCUCGUUAUAAAAGUGGUUUAUAUAUGCCCUUACCGUUAUUCAAACGGCUCACAUAUACCCCUGCCGUUACAAAAUGGCUCACAUAUACCCUUCAUUUAACGAAAGUUAAAAAAUUAGUUUUAAAUUUAUAUUUAUUACUUGUAAUUUUUUUUAAAAAAUUAUUUAGGGGUAUAUAUGAUUCUUCUAUCAAAGUUCAAGGUAUAUUUUAAUUUUUUUUCAUACAUAAAUUAUUUUUUGACUUCGCUUAUUAUAAUUAUUUGAGUUUCUUAUUCUUAUUUUGUUUUUUUCUUUCAUUACUUAGUUUAAAGAAAAAAAUUUAAACAAUUUUUUUGUGUAUUGUAAUUUAAUUUCGUAUUCGAAGAAAAAAUUUGGUCUACAAUAAGUUUUACAAGAAUAUUAGUGAAACAUAAACAAAUUUGAUUAUCAAAAUUAUAAUUAUAAAUUAGUCAUUGAAACAAAAAAAAUAAAAAAAAAUAUGUUUUACGAGGAUUAAAUUUACUCAUAUUAGAUUAUAUAUUUUAUAAAAUAAAAAUAAAAAUUUAGAUUAAAAUUAUUUUUUUCAUUUCCGUUAGAGGAAAAGGGUAUAUGUGAGCUAUUUGUUUACAAGUAGGGGUAUAUAUGAGUCACUUUCAUAACAAGGGGUAUAUCAGCUCUAAAUAACAAAGUUGAGAGGUAUAUCAAACAUUUUUCCCUUUUUUCAAUUUGUAAAUUAAAUAUGAAUUUAGUAUGUCAUGAUUAUUUCUAUUAAAUUAAGAUAUUAUCUUGACAAACAAAAUGUGAGAUUACUAUUUUUGAAUUAAUAUUAUAACCAUAAAUUUUAUAACAUUUUGAAAGAGUAGAGAAUAGUAACAAAAUUUGCAUAUGUUAAUAAUGACAGUGUGUUCAUCAAACUUGAACUUAAAUCUCAAAUAUUGUCAUUUGUUCAUUUUAUCUUUCACCGUAAACAAUAAAAAUAAUUCACAUAAAAAAUGAAGAAUAAAAAGAAUGAAAAAAUCACCAACAAUAAUGAAGAAAAUAACACAGACAAGAAAAUAGAAGGAAAAACACUAUAAAUAAGAGACAUCAACAAAACUAAAAUAAAACAAAUAAUCUUAUCUAUUUUGUUUAAAUUUUGAAUUUGAAUUCUCACAAACAACAUAGGUAUAUGCUCAUCCUAUCUUUCAUACAAUAAACCAAAAAAAACUAAUCACAUAUAAUAUAACAUUAUAAAAUUAGGCAUAACAAAGUGAUGUACUUAAGUGUAAAUAUAAUCAAGAAAAAAAUAAUUUCUUACCAUUGAUGAGGAUGAUAUACUUUAGUAUUUAUAGUAAUCAGUAAAUUUGUAACUUAAUUAAAUAAUAUGAAUUAAAAAAAUAAUAUAGUAAUAAAUAAAAUUGUAACUUAUAUUGAUAUUAAUUGUUUUAAUUAUAAUAUAAUAAUAUUUUUAAGAAGGAAUAAAGAAAGGUUUAGGAAAAGGUGAUAAAUGGUAAUGGUAGUGGGCUUAGUUUUUAAGUAACUGUUGGGCUGCAAGAUUAAUUACUCUUAUUUACUGUGAUAUUUUAACUCAUUUAGACAUUUAUACAUUUUUAAGGGGGAAAAAGUCAGAAUUUUUUUUUUUAAAAAAAGAAAAAACAUAUAACUGCAAAUGCUGAUCAUUGGAGGGUGCCACAUCAAUAAUUUUAGAUUUAGCUUUAUAUUAUUAUAUAGAUUUCGCUCCCUUUAUUGAAAACGUAAAAUGUUAAAUAUUUUUUUAUUCUUAAUAAAGAUUUUUAAAUUUGAACCUUAAUAUAUUAAAUCAUCUUUAUUAGAAAAAACUUACUUCCAAUUAUAAAAUCUCAAACACACAAAAAAUGAUAAUUGAAUGUUAAUAUAUUUAUCAAACAUCGAGCGAGAAAUGAAAAAAGAAGAAGGGAAGUAUAGGUGCAUUACUUAGAAAACGACCAUUCACUAAUGCUACAACCCCACAAUGUGUAAAUUGAUUUGAACUAUUGCUUUCAACUUCACUUUUUUAGUUUUUUUUUUCUUUACAAGAAUAACAAUUAAAUCAAAUGAUUUGGUUUGAAAACAACACCAAUUUUUUGAAAAGUAUUCAGAAAAUUAUUUUUUCAACAUUUAAACAAAAUUUUAACUACUUUUUACUAUAUUCCAAAACGUCUCGUUAAAAAAGGAAUAUAAAAUCUCAAUCAGGUUAAUUAAUACAAUAAGAUUUUUGUAUUUUUAGCUAUAGUCAUAGAUGAAUUUAAAAUCAUUUUAAAAAAUUAAGUUAUGAAAAAUUAUUCUAUAUAUAUAUUAAAAAAGUUCUUACUAGAAUUAUUGAAAACUUUUAAGACCGUAAAUCGUAAUCAAUCAUCUAACUAGCUUUUAUCCGUAAUAUUCGAAUAAUUUUCUUCGCUUUUCCAAGAGGAAUAUAUGUUGUUUUAUGUUAAAAAAACUUCUACAUAAGAUUAUUAUUAUUUAGGGUUAAUUAUAUAUAGUGUGUGCAUUAACAAUGUCACAAACUCUCAAUAUUACAAAAAAAAAUUAGAAAUAUAAAUCCACGCAAUUGUAUAAAAAGGGGUUAAUCAAUAUCCUAAAAUAAUAAUAAUGUAAUAGCAUUAACGUAUGUUAAUAUGUUAUAUUACGAAAUUCAAAAAUAUGUGAACUUUAAAUAAUAUUGUCAUCAUUGUAUGAAAGAUUCACAAUUUAUAUCACUUUUGUAUAAUUUAUUUUUUUUAAAAAAAAUUGAUUGAAUUAACCCUCUAAUAGUAAUAAUAAUAACAAUAAUUAUACAAAUUAGUAUUUUAAUUAUGUCUAUCUUAAAUCAUUUCAAAUUAUAAUGUGUAAUUGAUUACUUUUUAAAUCAUUAGAUUCCCUAAAUUUCUAAAGCCAAAAUCCAUUACUUUUCGUCUCGUUAUAUUUAUCGGACACGUGUCUAUUCAUAUACAAUGACAUAAUUGUCCCCACAUAAAAAAAGUAACCCAAACACUUGACUCAUCUUAACCAUGGUUUCAUUUUAACCCAACACAUUUCCACCUCUUUUUGUUUUUUAUAAUAUAAAAAAUCGUUUGAUAGCAGAAAUAUAAGUAUUAAAUUUUACAUAAGUAAUACCGUAUUUAAUAGUUGAUUGAAAAAAAAGAGCUAUUCAUAAGAAAGUUUUAAUCUUUUCAUCUGGGGUUUAAUACCUGUAUUUGCUUGUAAUUGAGGAAAUGGUAGGUUUUGUAGAGCAUUAUUGCUUGAGUUCUUUAGUAUUUACUGGUGAAAAAGAGUUCAAAUCUUUGCACUGUUGUCUAAGUACUUUAGCCGUUGCCGGUGACUUCAUUAAACUGAUUUGAUAGAACAGAAGGUUUUGUGGAACAUUGGUGUCUGAGUACUUCAGCCCUUACUGGUUGGGAUGAGUUUUAAUCUAUGCAUCUGAGGAACUUUUCUUGCUUGUAAUUGAAGCAGUGGGUUUUGUGGAGCAUUAUUGUGUGAGUACUUUAGUCUUUCUGGUGAGAAAAGUUCUAAUCUUUGCAUCUGGGGUUUGAAUGUUUCUUGUUAGUAAUUGAGGGUUUGAGGAAGUAGUAGGUUCUGUGAAGCAUUCUCGUCUGAGUACUUUAGCCCUCCCACAUUGUGUGAACAAUCUCUUCUCAUCGAGCAUGCGUUUCCCCAUCAGCUGAAGCAACACUGUUAAUCUUUAUCUCUGGUUGGUCGCUGAUAUUAAAGUUGGGGUUGUUAUAACCAAAAAAUCAGGGUACAUUUGAAAAUAAAAUAUAAUUCAACAUUCGAAAGCGGGUUAUAAGUUGUUUUCCAAAUUUGAUUUACAACUUCGAACUUUUCGUACACAAACACUGGUUUUCGAAUAAAGUGGACAUUAUAUCAGAAAAAAAGUAAAUAAUAUUUAUGGGUCCUUAAUUAAGUCUUUCAGUUCAUUCCUCUGUUUUGCUUGAUUGAUGGUAUUUCACAGUAGUUGGUGGCCAUAGAGAAGAAAUGCCUUAGUACUUUGAAUCGCUUACUGGGUAAAGAAGCAAAAGCAUAUAGUGUAUGACUUGGCUACAACAAACGAAAGGGAUGUAAGAGGGCACAAUUUCGUCCACCUUUAGAAACUAAGCAUAAACUGAAUCUAAUUAAAUUUUUGUUUUGAUAUGUGCACUUUACUAGCAAUGUUGCACAGAAAGUGUGAACUACUGGUUCGGUGUUAUAAGUAGUUCAAUGAUUUGAAUUAUUGAAAGGGUUGAAUAUCUUGUAACAUGGUUAUCAAAUUAAUGUUGCAUUUUUAUCUCUUUCCAUUUGAUUUAUCACAACUCCUCUUAUAUUUGGACCUUCUUUUGCUGCUAUUCUUGUUUAGCGCUGGGAAUAAAAACUAUAGAAGCAAUGUAACUCGUUUUUUGCUGCAGGAACCUGAGAGAACUGGAACUGGGAGAAAGUGAAGCAGAAGACCUGAGUGGCCAUUGGCUUAGUCAUUUUUCUGAUAGUUGUACAUCGCUUGUGUCACUUAACAUUGCUUGUUUGGCUUCUGAGGUCAGCUUCUCAGCUUUGGAGCGUCUAGUUGCUCGCUCUUCUCAUUUUAGGACUCUUCGGCUCAAUCGUGCUGUUCCCAUUGAGAAACUUCCAAAGCUACUUCGUCAUGCUUCGAAGUUGGUUGAAUUUGGUACAUGAUCCUACUCUGCUGACAUGCAGGCUGAUGUUUCUGAAGUUUUCGUAAAUGUAUCUCAAGCAUUUUCAGGCUGUAAUCAACUUAAAGGCUUGAGUGGGUUUUGGGAUGCUGUGCCAGCCUACUUUCCAACUAUUUAUCCAGUCUACUCCAAACUCACCUCUUUGAAUUUAAGCUAUGCUACCAUUCAAAUAGCUGAUCUUUGCAAGCUCAUUGGCAAUUGUUUCAAUUUGCAGCGGUUGUGGGUAGGUUCUAGCUUGUGUUUUACUUUUGUAUACUUAUCGAGUGUUUUCAAUAGUCAUGGCUCAAUACAUUAACUGUGUUUGUGAUAAAAUAGAUAAAUUGAUUGAUAGUUGUAAACACACAAAUUUCCAAGAGAAGAACAAUAAUCCUAACUUAGUAAUUGUCUUGCUAAUUUUGAUAAUGCCAGGGAUAAAUAAACAACGUAAUGAACUUCAGUGUUUACUUAGAUAACAUAGCUAAACAAUUAAUUUCGAGUGAACUCUUUGAAUAAUUUGCUGGUCUGUCAUACAAAGAAUAAGUUAAUGUUGAAUCCUAGUGUUGCACGAAUCCUACACUUUGACAAUUCAUGUAUAUCUUUCCGGGUUAGACGCUUCCAUUAGUUUUUAGGCUUUUCUUGUCCAGUGGAUCUGCUGCAUAAUUAGUUAUCCAGCUUACGCUUUAAGGCACUUGGAAUGGAUGUGAUUGCAGGUUCUAGACUACAUUGAAGAUAGCGGUCUUGAGGAGAUUGCCAACACUUGUAAGGAACUUCAAGAGCUUAGGGUGUUUCCUUUUGAUCCAUUUGCUCCAGGACCUAAUGUAUCCUUGACAGAGCAAGGCCUUGUAGCUGUCUCAAUGGGCUGCCCUAAGCUUUAGUCAGUUUUAUACUUCUGCCGCCAAAUGACAAAUGACGCCUUAGUUACUAUUGCAAGGAACCGUCCUAACAUGAUCCGAUUUCGUUUGUGUAUUAUCGAGCCUCAAACUCCUGACUACUUAAUCCUUGAACCACUUGAUGCUGGUUUUGGGGUCAUUGUGUAACACUGCAAAAAAUUGCAGCGACUUUCUCUUUCUGGCCUCCUUACAGAUCGUGUGUUUGAGUAAAUCGGGGUCCAUGCUAAGAAGUUAGAUAUGCUUUCCUUAGCUUUUGCAGGAGAUAGUGAUCUAGGCCUCCUAUAUGUUCUCUCUGGUUGUGAGAGCCUCCGUAAGUUGGAGAUUAGAGACUGCCCUUUUGGCGAUGAGGCUCUGUUGGCUAAUGCUGCAAAGCUGGAGAGUGGAGACCAUGCGAUCCCUUUGGAUGUCUAAUUGUUCAGUAAGUUUUAAAGCAUGUAAGCUGCUAGCCCAGAAGUUGCCAGGCUUAAUGUUGAAGUUAUAAACGAGAGGGGUCAUCCGGAUACGAGACCAGAAAGUUGCUCUAUUGAGAAACUUUAUAUACACAAGACAGUGUCAGGAAGGAGGUUCGACACUCCUGGUUUUGUUUGGACUAGGCUCCGGGCACGUGUAUUCCAAAUAAAAAUCAAUAAAAAAAAUAAAUGAAAACGUAUAUAAUAAACUAUUAGGAGAAUUAUGAUGUUUUUUUCGAGUGUUCUCUCGAUAUUUUCGAUCUACUGCACAUUAGAUAAGUCUCCAAAGCUUACCCAUUUAUAAGCAAUUAAAUGUACAGACAGUCAUCAACAAGUAAAAAUUCUAAGAAAGACACAUCAAGUUAAAGAAUUAAAAAGGGAAAAUGCGACGUUAUUUAAAGUCAUCUUGUAUCCUUAAUGUGUGUCGUUACAAAUGUAACUACUUCCUUAAAAACUUUCAGAUUUACUCAGACUUACAUUUACAGGCUUACAACUACUAUCCAUCACUGUUAGAGAAGACUUGGAGUCGCUACAUUUAUUGAAGAAAAUGUGAUAUAUUUUGCUAGCAAACAGCUGCAAUUUCAAUUUAUUAUUAAUAGUUUAAAAGUUUAAACAUGGUUUCUUUUCUGUGGGAAGCUUGCAUAGAGAGUUUUAAAGAGAGUUGAUCAUCAUUCAGUAUCAAACCAUAUUGUACAACAACAUUCAAUUUUUGAUAUGUGUGGUUAUACCUUUCAAGCUAUUUAUUUUACCUAUUAAAAAAAUUAGAAAGUUAGCAAAUCAAACGGAAAAAUCUAGACUUAAUAAGAUUGUACCUGAAAAUUAGAAGACAUUUUUGUACCCACUUAACAAUGGAAGCUUGUGUUGAAUGACUAAUAUUGAGUAUGUUUAUGUAGUGUAGUCUUGGAGAUUUGUUGAUAAAAACUCUUUGAUAUUCCUCAAUUACUUAAUUUGAUCCUUUUCAACUUCUCAUAAUUAGCAAAAUACGUUUCAACUUCUAUAUUAAUUGAAACUUUAUUCGUGUUCAUCCUAUUUGGUUGUUUCACACAUAGUAAUUGAAUAGACUGUUGAACUUCUUAUUUUGUUCCUUUAUUAUGUAAUUCAAUAUUACUAUUUAAUUAGAUAUUUAAUUUAUAUUUGGGAAAAGUAUUUUAUUACUUUUUAAUUUAGUAUAGGGGCAAAGUAAUAAUUCAACUUUACACUUUAGAGCUUCAUGCUUAUAAUAAUAUAUGAUUAUUGAUGAAGAUGCAACAUCGACUCCAUAUAGCAAUGGGGAUUGCUCUUUGGCUUCUUCUUAGGAAGACUUCAGGUAUUAGUUCUAUGCUGAUCUUUCACCUGCAUUUACUUGCUUGAGCCUUGUGUAGUUGCAGUGCUGGUUAUGGUGGCAGUGAAGCGCAUGUGCCAUUGAUUUGACCCUUUGUUGAGUGACUUUGCAACAAUUAAUUACAAAUAAUGAGUUUAAACUCUUGUUGUUGUGCUAUAUCACUAAGGAUAACUAUUGUAUUUUCAACUCUUAUUGUUUUUUCUGUUGAAAUGAUGCUGUCAAUGUACUUGUUGUCCUGUAUUGUUGUAAUUCUCCUUGAAGAUAAAUGGGAACCUUUCAUUCAUUUGAGUGCUGAAAUCCGAUUUAAUUUGUUGAACGUUUAGAAGAAGGUAUUUUAUUGUUCUAGUACGAGUCAGCCUGAUAAACAAACACUUACAUAGGUAUGAUGACUGUUCAUUUUCUCAAUUUUAUACCUACUCGUGCAAAUCCAAAGUUAAAAGGUCAUGUUUAUGUAUUAUGCCAAAUCUAUACUCACAUGUGUGCUUGCGAUAAAAGAAAUAGACAAAUCAACAAAUGAUACGUGCAUUUAUAAAAAUUAUAAUUUUUGUUGAAGAAACUUUGAGAAAUCCACAAAAAUAUUUCAUAACUGCAACAAAGUUUUCUUAAUCAUAUACAAUGUACCCUGCAAAGUACAAUCUACUUUUCAACCAUAAUGCUACUUAAAUAAGGGGAUAUUCUUCUGGCCAAGGAUCUGAAGCUCGCUCCCUCCUCUCAUUUCUUCAGCGUAUUCCUUAAUCUUGAGAGCAGAAUCUUCAAGUUGAGGACUCUUUACAAUUUUGAUAAAUUUCAAUGAAUAAAUAUCUCCAAAACUAGGUGGAAUCUCCUCAAACUUACCACAUUCCUGCAGUUUUAAUUUCUCAAGAUUGGGGAAGGAUUCCUCUCCAACCUCCCACUUGGAAAGAGUCGGUAGACGCAAGUUCAAAAAUUUGAGAUUCUCAAAGGUGUCUUCCUCCCCCAUGUUCCAUUCUUCUCCAUGGAUGAUUGCAUCACAAAGGGACAACCCUUCAAGGUUGGGCAGUCUAGCUAUUGUUGACAGUGAAUCGGAUGUCAGAGGAAAGUCACGCCAUGACAGUUCUUUCAAAUUUGAAGGGAAGUGGAAAUCCCACGGCCGAUUUGUCGCUACAGAGGACCCAAUGUGGUUUGUGUUUGAACUUUUAAAACCUACACUGAGUAUUUCUAGUUCAGUUAGGCAAUCCAAUUUCGGGAACCAAUAUUGCUCUGUUGAAUAAUCCCAUGACUCCUUGAGAACAAAUUCAAGCACUUUAAGAUUGGGAAACCUUUUGAAAAUAUUCUUUGUAUCUUUCGAAUAGGAAAUCAACAGUUCCCUUAGUAUUCUCAAGUUCUCUAACUUUGUGUCCUCUGCUAUCAAUAUUGAUUCAUCUGCAUCCAUAUCAAAGAAAGAACAAGCAUCCGCGGACAGCACUCGUAGCUUUACAAGAUCCAAAAUUCUUGGUAACAGUAUCAAGGUUGAUCCUUUGUUAGACACAAACAGACUUUCUAGAUUCCAGAGGUUUGAGAAAGACAAAGGCAGAUAUUUAACUUGUGUCCGAAUUCUUAAGUACCUCAAAUGAUUCAACAUGCAUAUUUCAUUCAGCAAAGAAUCAUUCACCAUGAUUAAAGAGGAUUCCAGGUCCAACACUCUAAGAAGCCUCAAGUGUCUUAGGUGAAAUGUAUCAAAAAGACUGUCAUCAUAAUCAAUGGUAAUUUUACGUGGCAAUAAAUCUGAUGGAGCACUUGAUCUUAUCCGAUCAAACAACUUUUCCUUUCUUGCUUUUAUCAAACAAAAGUCAUGCACAAGAUCAUGAACUUGGCAACUCGGUUCAUCACCUAUCUCAUUCAAAAGAAUUACCAAGCUACUGGAAAUUAAAUCAUCCAUACAAAUCUUCAGCACUUCUUCCAUACUCUUCAUCUCCGUCUUCCCCACAAAUCCUUCAGCACCCAAAAAAAACAUUCAACAAAUAGAUUGUCAAUGGAGUGUCCUUCGGCAAACUUACAAAGUGAAGCAAGCAUGGCUUGAGGUGAUGUGGUAAAUGGUCAUAACUUAAUUCUAUAACUUUCAUCACUUCCACUUCACUGUUCAAAAUAAAAGAACUCAAACUAUUUUGAACUUCAAGCCACACACUCUUUUUCUUUUCCCUCCCAGCAAUGACUCCAGCAAUCAGAUCAGCCACCAAAGGAAGCCCUUUACAAUUUUUGGCUAUUUCUUUACCGACAUCUAAUAGUUCAUCAGGGCAACUCUCGUUCCCAAAUGCCCUUUUCUCUAAUAGUUCCCAACUUUCAUCUGGUCUUAGCAAUCGAAGGUCAAGAGGAUCAGUGUUCAGCUUUCCAUGCAAAGGCACUUCCUUUUCUCGAGUUGUCAAAAUAAUCCUACUUCCUUUCUUAGCUUCAAGAAAAGGUCUUGUUAACUCAUCCCAUGUAGUAGUAUCCCACACGUCAUCUAAGACAAUAAGAUACCUCUUUCCAUACAGUUUUUUCCGUAGCUUAUCAGGAACAUCAAUAUUCUCACUCAAUUUUGAAUCUGAGUCACUAACUUGAUUGACAAUUUUAUUCAACAACUUCUUCUCAUCAUAUCCUUGGUCGACCGUGCACCAUGCACGAAGGUUGAAAUGGCUAGAAACUGACUUAUCACUGUAUACUUUGUAUGCCAAAGUAGUUUUACCUGAACCCGGCAUACCAGUGAUCGAAAUGACAUCUAGAUCUGCCGGUCCACUGGUGAGCUUUCUAAGUAUCAAGUUUGUCUCCUCCUCAAAACCUACAAUUAUUUUAUCAGUUGUCAAUGACUUUCUCUCAACUGGUUUCUUGGGAGAGUUCACAACGAUUAGACCUCUGUCCUUGGGAAUGUUCUCAUCUAAAGCAGAGAUCUCUUCUUUGAUAAGUUUGAUCUUCUUUAUGGUAAUGGGAAGUGAGAAAAUAAGAUGUAAGAGACCAUUAUCUCGAACAAUAAUUGAAUCUAUGACAUCUUUUGCCUCAUAAGCCACAUCUAGAACACGUGCCCAGAUAUCUUUAUACAAUCCUUGCUCAGCAUCCACAAAGAAUGAUCUUAUGAAUUCCAGGUCUUGUCUCACCAACUCGAUUUCUUCCUUUAUCAAAGAAAUUGAAUAAGCAUUAGAUUCUAGCAAAUCAUUUAAGUGCAUGUGUAGAAGAUGCAUGAAGAGUGGUCCAUCACUCAUGGGGGAGCAACAUUGAGAUGAAUCCGGGGCUUUCAGAUAAACAUGUUUGAGAUCUUUCUUGAGGAGUUCAAUAUUUUCCAGCAAGUCUAGGGUUACACAAUUUGUUUGGUUAUUACCCUCUUUAUUCCUUAAUUUCUCUUCCAAGUCACAUACAAGAGUUGAUACCUCCCUGGUAAGUACUUCAACAUGAGCCAAGAGAUCAAAAAGUUUGUCAUGAUGAAUAAAGUCCUUGGGCAUAUUCAGAAAGAAUAAGUAAUAGGAAUUCCAUCAUGACAUGAAUGUUUAGAGCCCCUGAAGUGCUAGGGGGAAUAACAGUUAUCAUAUGCUCUUGUAGUUGAAUGAUAUAUUCUCUGAGAAUAUCCGGUGAGGGUUCUAGGAGCUUCUUAAUGAAGCGUCCAACUUCUGCUGAAGUUGAAGCUUUCAAAUUUGUAUAACAUAUGUGCAUAACCUCCAGUUCAGUUGGAACAAUCUUCAAGAGUAGCUUGAAGAGUCGAGAGUCUCUAUCAUUCUGAUCAUCCUCAUCUAGCUCGGAGAGCCGAGAGUCUUCAUCAGUCUGAUCCUCCCAAAGGAAGUGUCCUACUCUUUCAGCCAUCAGUUGAAACAGAGGUAAGACAUUCUCAACCGUCUCAUGCUUAAUGCAACCAUUCACUAUCAACCCAUGGAAGUCUCUUAUGUUGCCACAUACAUUCUGAAGAACUUCAUAUUGAGUCACUUCAGGAAAUAUCUUUUCAGCGUGAUGCUUGGAUAGAUGAAACAGAUUCAAGAGGAGGAAGUCCAAUUGCUCAUCCAUCAUGGUGGCAUCUGAUUUAUAAGAACGAUGAUACAAGCUGAUACAAUCAUCCAUAUUACUGGUGAGGCUAGUAAGGACAUCAUCAUCCAAAAGUGGUU
rnacentral:lncRNA from 1 species